CCCUCAGCUUUUUUAUGCUUUUGUUAAGCUUCUCACGCUUUACUGCCACUGCCGGCGACUCCUCCAGCAUCCUCUCGAUUCCCCCGCCGUAUGGUCCCAUCAACUCAUUCACAAUCUCAGCUUCCAACUCUUUGUUCACAAGCUUAAAGACAGACAGCUGCAAGUGCAAUGCCAUGGAGUCCACAAGCCUCCUCAAAACAACCUUCCAAUAGGCAAUCAUUCUCAUUUUAAGGUCAUAAGCUUGACCUAACACAAGCGGGUACAUCCUCAGACAACCGACUUCCACUUCCCCGAUGCCUUCUAUAUCUAUGAUAGAAGGUUUCUUCUCAUCAGCUAAGACUCCAUGAAUGAAUUCAUUUUGAUUAGCCAUCAACUUGUUCCAUUCGGAAACAUAAUCACCAUCACAUGUAUAAUCUGUCAGCUUUUCCAUCUCUACAAGCUCCAGCAUCCACUUGAUUGACCUUUCCUUCAUCUUGGCCAUUAGAUUAUGGCCGGCACGCCUUGCUGACAGCUGCAGCUGAUGAUAGUUCUCCGUAUAAUGCAUCAACACAGAAAUAACCACCUCUUCAAUGUAGCUCCACACUUUUUCCACAAAUGCUAUCGGAAUACUCGAAAUUUCAUCCACUUUUCCCUGCAAGAUACUGAGGAAAGCAUUGCGUGGAAGAAAAUUUGGAAGUGAAAUACCUUUGGCCUUCUCCAAGAUCUUGAUCUCCUUCAUCAAGAAGUUGCUCUUUGCAUCAGUUUCAGCACAUCUGUGAAGUUCAUCAGAGUACAGGUUGACCAAUCUAGCAGUGCAGUGCAUGCUGUCUUCUGCGUACUCGUCAAAUUCUCCUCUCAAAAGAAUCUUCCUAAGCGAUUCCUUAGCCAAGCCAAUGAUUUGCAUAAAGGCCGUCAUGGCCUCGGCAACAGAUGAAAGACUCUUUGGCAUUUUAUUCAGUUCCAUAAUGCAGAAGUUCAGCCUGUCAUUGAUCUUCUUCACUAUAUCGGGUAUAUUUCUUGCUAUGCUGUUUGCUUGAAUUUGGACCAGCUUCUGUGCUAAAACUGGAAUACCGACAAUGGACUUGUCAAUCUUCGAAAGCAGGGGAUGGGUUUGAAAUAGUUCAUGAGCCAUCGCCGCUGCCUCCUCAUAAGUUUCGUCACCAAUCCUGUUCCUUACACAGACAUAACCAAGACCAAUGUUUACAUCAUCUCCGGUGACCUUCUCAAGUAGUCCUUCCGGUGCCUUGUCCACUUUCGUAACCACAGCGAGCGUCCUCUCACCAGUUUUAUCUACACUUUGUGACAUCCGAAUUGACUCACACGUAGUAAAAUCCACCGUAGCAGACAAUACAUUCAGAAUAAUACUUUCUUCCGGCUUAAUAUACUCCAUGAUCAUAUCUUUGAUCUGAUCAUAAAUAUUUUCAGGUUGGCCAUGGACCGGAACCCUUGUGAUUCCCGGAAGAUCAACCAUAGUCAGAUCCGGAACCCCAUUCUUCUUCACCAACAAAUUAAGUGGCGUGUUCGAAAUUCCCUUACCUCCUCCCGCAAUAGAAUUAGUAGCUUUCACAAUAUCUUUGGCGAUAUUGUCUUCAUCAGUACGAUCAACUCUGCCAUUGUACUCCAAGGAAAGUUCAGGCUGAGGACUCGAGUGGUGUUCCAGCCUCAUAAUAAGAGGCACUCUCCUGCAGAUGCCUUGGCCCCGAGGGAGGCUGAUGCCGGCCAAGGAUUCGAGCACGCUGGACUUCCCCGAUGACUGGUCUCCGACCACCACAAUCGUUGGCAGCUGAAUGCCUUCAUCCAUCACCAUCAAGCUGCGUAACUUGUCUACCGCAUCCAGAAGAGGGCGGAUCUUGUCGUUGUAGGACGACACAAUGGGUGCGCAUUUGAGAGGUACUGCGUCUAGUUCUGCCUGAACCAUGGCGAGGGAGCCUUCACCGUUUAAAUCUGUGCAACUCGAUUCCAUUUGCCUUGGUCCUUCCGUUUCUGAAUUAUAGCAAGUGAAAAUAAUGGUGAAAAAUCUAGAGAGAAACCGAGAUAAUUUCAAGCUUAGCUAAAGAAUUGAGGUUCUCUGGCAGCUUACCCUCCAGUUGAGAACCUUUUUUUACUAAGAAUGAUUUCAGGUAAGGGAAAACACCACUUUCGUGACCCUGUAGGAAACGAAGCCUUUCCUUCCAAUGCUGCAUUUCCACAAACUCAAGAGACUCUAAUACCCCAAAAGGCAAGUUACGCUCUCCAUAAAACUCAGCACCAAUUCGAAGAUGGAGUAAAAUGUUCUGUAUUGAGUUUAUGACUUAAUGGAGUAAACUGUUCUAUUUAUAGCUACUGCUAUAUAUCAUUCUUAGCCUUUAAGCAACUUAACUGACUCUCAAUCAACAAUAACAACACAUCUAAUAAAAAUGCUACUUUAUUUGUACCAUCAUUUGCUUACACUGAUAAAUAGCACUCAUACUCAUAAGCUGACAUGGCAGCCACAUCACUUAAAGUAAGAAGAUUACUUGUCAGAGAAGAUAUCAGUCAGGAAGAAGUGAGAAAGCUGGUUUUAGUAAGUGCCUUAGGCUUAAAGGCUUCUGGUAGUACGUAUACUUGUUCAGCAUAACCUAUCGAAGUAAAUGACAACCAGCCGUUUCAAAACCGCAUGCUGAGAGAGUUGUGAUUUGGACUUCCAAACGUUUAGCAAACCACACCUCAUGCGAGCCUUUGAACCCUAAUCAGUGUAAAUGUAAUAUGGACAGUUAACUGAUGACCAUUUUUUGUGCUUGAUGCUCUUGGACUUCAAUCAACCUUUAUAUAUUAUUCAUUCAAAUAAUCGAUCACAAGCUAGCCAAUGUAAGUUGUAACCCAACAGAGACGAGAUGUUGAAGAAAAUUAUAUAUUUUUUGUACUAUGGUAAGAAAACUAAGGCACCCAUUAGAGAAAGAGAAGUGCUAGCAGCCUUUGCACUAAUAUUUGUAUUUGGACCCUUUCAGUUUAACAAAUAACACAUUAUUUUCUAUACAAAAAAAAAAAAGCAAGAAUUUUGUCUAGGAAUUAACGAUGAGAAAUUGAAUCUAACAACCAAAAUUAAAGUUAACAAAAAAAAAUAGAGAACUUAAUUCUUAUCGAAUCGAAUCUACCUUUAUGAUCGUGCUCCAGAGAAAUUGAAAAGAAUGGAGGGUUUUUGAAUUUGGUAUUUUUUGUGUGGAGAAAAAUGAAACAGAAAGAGCCUUUGAAGAUUCCUUUUUGAGUUUUCACAUUAGGAAUUGGAUAUGCUCCCAAUUUUAGUGUCCGGAGCAUGUCCAUCAAUCGAUUUGGGUUGCUAAUUUGUGUGCAAAAGAAAUCAAAGUCGUUCAUUGUGUGUGGUGGGUCAGGAAAAUAAAUUAAAGGAGGCCGUUAGAUUCAAUUUGUGUGGCCCAAAUUGGUUGAUGCACAUGCUCCAGAAACUAAGGUCUGGAGCGGAUCCAAUUCCUUCACAUUGUGGAAUUUUGUUUCACUUUUACCAUUGUAAGACCAUAGAUCAUGGAUGCUGACAUGGUUGGAUAGGUGUCAAAUGAUGGUGUCCUUGGGGUCUCCACUGUGUCAAAGAAAAAGUAGUCCCCAUGGGCAUCCGAGCGGAAAGAGAACCCACGAUAGUAUAAAGAUUUUGCAUCACACUCAUAGCUUUGACAUCAAUCCUUUUCCCCUCCUUGCCGAUGUUCUUUAUAUUUUACUUUCUUUCUUGAUAAGUUGUUUGUAGAUGACAUUUUCUGAGAAUCUCUUGGGUGUCGUAUGCGUGCUACAUCACUCGUUUGUGUCAAAAUAUAUAUAAACAUUAUUUCUUUCAAUUGAUAUUUAAAAUUAAAAGUCUACAGACACUUUUUGGGUGAACUUGAAUUAAGGAAUUCUCAUUUUAUGUGUUAAGUUUUAUGCGGAUGAGUUACGUGGUACAAAUUCAAGAAUUACUCUACAUUUUAAGCUGUUUUUUUAAACAUUUAUAAGCACAUAUAACUGAACUAGAACGCCACAUGACAAUAAAUGAAUUUUAUAUAAAUCAUUGUUACUUGGAGACUAAGAUUAUGACACCAUUAAAUAUUACAUUGUUUUGCAAGAAAAAAGAGAACAUGGGAAAGAUAACAGGACCAAAACAAUUGAGACUACAAUUUAGGACAUAUUGUACCACAUCUUAAAAAAAAAAGUGGAAUUUACUUAUAUUAUGAAACCUACUAGUAUUAAAUGGUUUACAAUGUAAUUUACUAAAGUAUAACCUCUCUAGCUGAUAAGCCUAUGAGUAAUUAGCGUUUGUAGACAUCAAAUGCUAAUGAGAAAAAAAAAAAUCUAAUUUCAUCCUAUCCACCUCUAUUAUAAAAUUUAUGUUUCAAUGCAUAUACUAACGAUCAAAAUUCAAAUUUCAAUUGUAGAACUGAACCAAAUUAUUGGUAACAAAGCGAUAAUAUAACGAUCAAAACUCAAAGAACUCAUGCCCCGAGUCUAUCAAUAUUUAUUAAAUCCAAAUGUUGUCAACUAUUGGUCUAGUGGUAACUCGUCUUAAUUUUUUACAAGCGAAAAUUCUAGAGUACAUCAACUUAUAACAUAAAUUACAAAAUUUAACGGUUAAUAUGUGUUCAAGAAAUCAAAGAAAUCUAAGAUGUAUCAUUUAUGAAUAUGGUCUACAUGCGAAAUUAUCCUCAAAGAUCAUUGUUGGACAUCAAUGACGGAAGAAAAUCGACAAGUGCUUUGAAUAUGCUCGACAACGACUCUCAACUAUGUACACUCACGAGCAGCCUUAUAGAGGGCAAGUAUCCUUGACAUAAUUCGAAGACGUAGUAACUAAAGCAUGCUUAGCAGACCUCCAAGAAAUUGUGGUUCCACCAACAACACCCAUUUGGGAUCUUGCCGUGUGCAGAUUGAAUAAGUACCCAUCAUCAACAUAACCAACAAAUGGAACUCGAGAACUGGGGUGGGGGGGGGGGUGGUGUGGGAUGGUUGCACUCGAAGUUGAGUAGGGAUGGAACAAGCCCAGGUCAACAGUACCAUUAAGAUAACAUAGAAUUUCUUUAACACCUUUCAAUGUCUGCGUGUUGGCACAUGAUUGUGUCGUGCUAAGUGAUUCAUAAUGUAGGAAAUGUUAGGUCUUGUACACUGAGAUAAGUACAACAAAGCACCAAUUGCACUUAAGUAUGGAACCUUGGGUUCUAAAACCUCUUCAUCAUCUAUCUUUGGAUAUUAUAAGUCUCGUUGUGCAUUGAUGAGUCCAUAUUGUACUAUAUAUUUUACCCUAAUCUUAGUUACAAUUUUUUGGUUAUUUUGGUGAAGUUUUGAUACUUUGGUUUAUAUUUUUAAUGUAGAACAUUUGAAUUCCUCUUGAGCAUAAAGUGAUCAAACAGACAAAUUUUGGAGCAAUUCCAACUGAAGGAUGUUCGUGAGUCUUUCAAGAUGAUUAUGUCAAAAUUCUAGAUUUUUUUACCAAGCCAUUUGACCGUGGCCAUGAUAAGAAUGCCCAGCGCGCAGUUUUUCUAGAUUGACAUUUCUGGACGUUUUGGGUAUUUUGAAGGUUAAUAUGGCAUAUUUUAAGGAAGAUUCAAUCUGAAGAUUUGUAAAUGACGUCUCAAACUUUUAAAAAAAACCUUUUGGGACCAAAUCGGAGUUGAUUUAAUUAGUCAAAAGUUUGAUUUUCUAAGAAGUCCGAAUUUCAGUUCAAAUAGGAAAUCUUUUAUUUCCUAGUCAUCUUAUUCUAUUAUGUUUCCUAGUUUUUAGAAGACCUUUUCUAAGUAGGAUUUUAUUUUGUCGUAGUACAAAUAAGGCUAUUUAGCUAUUAGGAGGGGAAGGCAUCAAUUUGGAGAACUUAGCUAGGCUUUGACGAUUUGUAUUUCAAGGUGUUUUAUAUCAUUUUUCUAUUUCAAUAAAAUUCCUUUUGUUUUAUGGUUGUUGGUAACUAAUUUCCGUUUGUUCGGGUGAUGCCUUGAGCCUUAGCAUGAAUAUGUAGUUAAUUUAAUUGCUUAUGAUAUUAUGCAUACUUUGAAUUAUCAAUCACUGUACUUUAAACUGUAUUUGUGUCUUAAUGAUUCAUGACCAUUAGGAUGAUUAGAUAAGUAAUUGGAUGCAAUUCGGUCGGAAUACCACCAGGGAAUUGAGUAUUGCUUCUUGUGAUUGAUAGUUGUAAUUUCACCUAGAGCAAAUACCAUGUCUUAGGGGUUGCAUGGUUUUUUCAAGGGGUUUUAACAAAGCGUAAUGAGUCAUGCAUGUUUAUAUUUGAUCUGAAUACCACAGACAGAUUGCAUGUUUGAUAUACAUUCUAGCUUGAAUACCACGAGUAGAAUAUACAUUAGGAAAACCUAACCUUCAAAGUUGCAUGGGUAAUUCGUAAGUAAUUAGUAAAUCUACAUAGGAUUGUUCAGGGGAUGGCUGAAUCUUAGUGCUUUUCUAAAUUUAUUUCUUAAAACCUUUUCUUUUUUAUCUGAUUUCUUCUUAAUUGGUUACUAGUAGUUUUGUGACAACCCGUCCCGAAUUUGUAUGUAUUUUAAUCCCCGAGUGUGUAAAAUGACGGAAAUGCCCUCGAGGCUUAGUGACGUGGAUGUACAUAGAUAGUUUUAAAUUAUUUUUCUCGCUGUCAUAAUUAAAUCAUACACGACGCCACGAGCGCAUUGACGCGAAUUAGGGUUGAAUCGGAUUCGUAACGAAAAUGUUACAAACGAAUAGGUGUAAAUGAAUAAGUUUGGAUUUAUACCUAACCCACCAAUCAUAUUACUUCCUACAAUCUUGGACCCAAUUAAUUGUUUGGGUUAGCUUUAUUUCUUUUUGGACCCUAAAACCCACCAUCUCUUCUUGCCCAAUCCGGAGGUGCGCGCGCGCGCACACACACACACACACACACUAAAAAUAUCUCAUUUCUCUCCUUGGUGACCAAUCACACACACACACUAAAAAUCUCUCAUUUCUCUCCUUGGUGACCAAUCAGACGCACACACACACACAACCUCAUCUCAUCUCCUUCAUCUUCUCGAACUCUCUCAUUCGUCUGUACACCGUACGAACACCAUUCACAAAUCCACCAAAAACUUCACGGAUCAAGUAUUUGAACACCACUAUCACCUUUCCAGUGAUCUCAUGAGCGAAACUCUGAGAACCCAGAGCUUCGGCGAGGUACUCUAUUACUCUAAUGUGAUUAUGGACAUUUCAUGAGAUUUUGAGGCUUAAAUAGGGUCUUAAUCAACUCUAUAAGGAUCCUAGGCUAGUUUUGGACUGGUUUGAACGUCAGAAUCCUCGAGAUCACGGAGUUGCAGUUUUGGCUGGUUGUGUCGAGCUAUUUUCUGUCCAUUUCUCGAAGGUUUUAGGUUCCUAAAUAGGUAAGGACUUGUUCUCCUUGUUGAGAGCUUCAAUUCCAUAUAAACUUUAAGAAUUUUGGUUGAGUUUUGAAGAAGAUAUGAAUAUUUUAAAAUUUCCCAGUUUCCGGCGAGUUCAGACGGCGGCGGAGGACAACGGAUUCCGUCGAAGUUCACCGUUGAAGACAGAGAAUAUUCCGUGAACUUUAACGGAAUAUUCUAACGGCGUCAGGUAACUUUAACGGAAUAUUCUAGGAUUUUAACGAAAUAUUCCCUAACGCUGUUAGGGUUUCCGUAGUUGUAUCAAACACGUGCCUGCGCGUGGGACAUCAGAAAAUUGUUCUAAAAAUAUGGGGAUGUUCGUGGUGUUAAGUAGCCCACGAUGAUAUAUUCAAACACUCAAAUUGAGCAACGCAUGAGAAAUUAUUACACGGUUUUGGUUAUGUACUUUCAAAUUAACAUUUAAUCAGUUGUUUCACAUAUGGGUGAGACGUUUUCGGAGGACGAGUGUAGCCAGGUAGGACUUGGGGGCUACGACCCUGCUACAUACCAGUGAGUGGGCUUUUGGUUUUCUAUAUAUACGUAUAUAUGCUUUACUUUUUCUUAGAAACUUUUUAAAAUGGAUUCACGUUUUUUAAAUGCCAUGUCAAUUGCAUCACAUUUUAGUAUAUGCAUUAGUAUAGAUAUGCAUAAUGUUGCAUGACACUGCGGACGCCCAGGUAAGCUUCAGGUGAGUACAUAUUGAUGAUAGAGAUGGCAACGUGUAUGGUUAUGUUUAGAUAUAUUUAGUGCUCAUUAUCUUGCACCUCGGUAUUAGUGCUCCACUCGAGGCCAGGGCCUAGCGUUCACGUGAUUGUUCGCCUCCCUUACCACACGCUCACCUUGGAUCUAAUGCAGGUGCCAGCCUGUUGUACAGACCACAUUAGGUGGUUCCGACUCGUAGGUGCCUUGCGAUAUUUCGCACAGCCUUCACGUGAUCGUAGCACUUGAACGUACUUAUUCACACCCAGCCUGUCGUACAUACCACAUUAGGUGGUUCUGAAUCGUGUGCAGGAAUUGGUAGAUGAGCUAUAGGUUUAGCCAUACAGGUCACGUUAGGUGACUCCCGCUGCCAUAUCACUUUACAUUGUUUCACAUCACCUGGCUUAUAUAUUUUAUUACUAAGAUACUUGACAUGGCAUAUACUCGGUUUUCACCGAUCUCGAGUAUGAUUUCUAUAUAUGUAUGUAUUAUUAUUUUCUAGGAAAUUAUACGGGUUUUACGGUGAGGGGUUAUUAUGUUUAAAAAGAGAAAUGUGUUUUCAAAACUUUGCUUUUGCCCACUCACAAUUUCUGUUUUGUGCCCUCUAGGUUCUAGCUAGAAGUUUUUGUUGGUGGCUCAUGAGGACUCUACGACGGUUCUGACAGCCUUGCAAUAAUGUAGGAACUUUCUUUCACGUUCUGUAUAAUUAAUACUUAACUUACUAGACUGCACUUAGGUUACCUAUGCUCUGAGUAUUGUAUUUCCCACUUUAAACACUUUCACACACUUACAUACUACUCUAGUGUAACUUAGUUAGUUUUAGUUUUUAAUUACCCACAUUUCAAAUCACUAUCACUUCCGCAUUGCGCACAUGGCUACAUCACCCUCACGUGACGACCAACAUGCCUCGAUUCAGGUCGAGGUGUGUCAUGUUUUUCCUAAAUUAAUUUUAUUAAAUUCGUUUUUAUUAUAUUUAAAUUCAAAAUCAAAAUUUUUGAAUCCUUGUUUUUAGAUAAUUAACUAAGAUUUUGGUUUUGCAUAAAUUGUUUUAAAUAAUCCUUGUGGAAACGAUCUUGCUUGAACCGUUUAUACUACAAUUACCUUAUUCUCUUGCAAGUAUUUUGUGUGAUUAUAACCUCUUUACAUAGGUACUAAAAAUCCUAUCAUGCAUCAAGUGUACGGGUGGCCAUGAGAGUACUCAAAGGCAACACUUUAUCAUUAAAGCAAUGUAACACCGUCUUGGUGUUGUUUGACUGAUGGACCAGAAUUUUGGAUUGUGAACUACCUUAGUACAUAUGUGCAGAAGUGUGGCGGGUGACGUAAACAUAAAUAAUCAUUUUAACAUGCAUGUUAAUGGAAUGUUGGAUUCCGUUUAAUCAUAUUAAAUUAAUUUAUGUAUUGAUUAUCUUCAGGUAUAAUAAACCACAAAUGUGUGUUGCACGCCCUAGGGAAAUUUUUGAGAAACUUUUGGGUUCACUAGUCUGUAUCACGCCACUUGCUCGUCUAAAAAAGAGAUUCUUUCACGUCACCAGUUUACCAUGCUACAAUUUUGAAUUUAUUAGAUGGAUAAUACAUUUUGUUUAAUAAAUGACCAACUUUACAAAUAUUUUUGUGAAGUGAUUUCACACAUAUUUUUUAGCUUUUUACACACCCAUGUUUAAUUUUGGAUGUUGAUUCUGUUUGAUUUAUUCAAUCUGAUGGCCAUAAAUAAAGAGAGGUAUGUGAGGAACUAAAAAUGGUGUGUGAAAAUCCAUGACACUGCUGAGCAUGAAUUUUAGUUAGAUGAAAAAAAACCUUACGCCUGAUACAAGUGGGAGGACAUGACAUGAUUGCCUUUAUUCAAGGAUGAGGAAUGCUAAGGUGACUAUCAAGAGUAGGACUCUCCAAGAACUCUUUGCCACCUCAUAGUUAGUUUAACGUCAAUUCAUUCAUGUGCCAGCAUUAUAAGACUAAUGCUAGGAAGACUAAAUUUGUAGACUAAAUUUGUAAACUAAAUGACAUGGAAGUUGAUUAUUAGAUUAUUACUUAAGCGUUAAUAAACGUGCUCAUUUUCUAUUGGUGACACGUCAUUUAGUUUGUAAAUUUUGUCUACAAAUUUAGUCUCCAUAGCGGUACUUGUAUUAUAAAACAUUGUGCCAAAUAUAUGAGGUGACAAAGAGUCUCAAUUUUGAGAGAGUAUCAUUAGCAUUUCUCUUCAAGAAUUUAUCCACAUUCUCCCUACUUAAUAAUUUCACCAAAAAUGGUUUCUGAAUGCUAAUGAUACUCCCUCAAUUUUGAGAGAGUAUCAUUAGCAUUUCUCUUCAAGAAUUUAUCCACAUUCUCCCUACUUAAUAAUUUCACCAAAAAUGGUUUUUGAAUGCUCACUUAUCAAAAUUAAGCCCCUGUUUAGUAUUUUUUUUUUCAUCAAAAGUUGCUUCACUUUAAAGUUAAGUAGUAAAAGUGUGUUUGGUAAAAAUAAAUUAUUUUGCUUAUAUUAAGCAUAAUGAAUGACCUCUAGAUAGCAGCUUUUAAAAGCAUCUUGUAGAUACAAAUGCUUUAAUACAAAGCAGAGUUGAGCCUUUAAUGAAUAUUUUUAAUUCCUAUAAUACGCUAAAUAAUUUUAAAAAAUAACAUUAUUUAUUCUUGUAGGCACAUUUUAUCAUUGAAGAAUAAAGUUGUGAAAUCUCGUUCCCAAAAGUUCAUUAUUUAAUUUAUGUAUUUCAUAUCUAUUUGAUUUUAUUUAACUAUAUUUUUGUUAAUAUUAGAAUUUUAAUUAUUUAGUUACAAAUUUUAGUUUUUCAUAAUUAGUCAAAAAGAAAAAAAAACUAGAAUCUGCCAGAUGGCAGCGGGAGAGAGAUAGACCAAUUAGAAGAGAGAGAAAUGAGAGAAAGGAUGGGGACCUAGCCAAUCAGAAAAGAGAGCAAGGAGGGGAAAUGAGGGAGAGAAAAACCACCCAAUACCGGAUUUUUGCAUCGACUUGUGAUUUCGUCGAUUUCAUCGGUUUUUCCGACGAAUUCCACUUAGCCGUCACUUGCACACUCCACCCCGACCUCCAUUCUCUCAUUUCCACAAAAAAUACGUGAGUUUUUGGCCUGGAUUUCACAAAAAAUUGCGUCGAGGGCUUUGUGGGUGCACGGUGUCAAUUUCGUCAUUUCUAAAAGGUUUUUCGUCAACCACUGCCACCCUUAGGCGUCUUUUGAGUCCAAGAACAUAGCCUAAAUGAGUUUGGGGGUUGCAGAGCUGCGAAUUCGACAAAUCGAGGAACACCCAUUUCUAGGGUUCCGAUGGAUCGAGGGUGUUUUCAGGCGUUUCUCGGUCAAAUUGGACUUUGGCCUAGGUAUGAAAGUUGUUUCCCUUGUUGUGAUCUACAAUUCUGUAAAAUUUGGUAAUUUUUAGAGUUAGGUGAAUUUUUUGGUGAGUCGAGGCGACACAUGGCCCGAAGAACCACUUGACCUUUCUUGGCUAAAUUCAAUACCCUGAUUCCAUAUGUGACUUGUAAUUGAUGAAAUCCCGUCGUUCGAACAUAGUUUUGAUAGAGGCUGCCACUUGAUCAUUAUAUGAAUUGACGAUCCAACCGUUGGAUCGACACCAAACUUUAGUGCGUUAUAGUACGUAAUAUUUGAGACAUUAGUAACUUAGCGAUCAGGAAUCUGAUGUACGGAUCUUUCCGAAUUGAAUUUCUAAGUUUGUAAAAUCAAACAUUGGCCACCAUUUAAUUUUAGCGAUUGGCGGAGAUCUGACAGUCGGAUUGUUCUGAAAUUUUAGGAUAUUGUUCUAGGAGAUUAUUGAGAGUCUUGGGAAGUUAUGCAUCGGAGAUCCAUGGGCAGAUGUUCUAGAUCGAAUUAUAUAGGGUUGUGGACCCCACCGUUGACAGAGAGUUGACUUUUGGUCAAUAUGUUACGAAUUGAUCUUAAAUAAUAAAAUUAGUAUUACUAGAUACUAAGUAGGGCUUAGUGGGCCUAUAUGGGUUGGUGAGCUAUCACAGGUAAUAUAUACCUCGGUAUACGUGUAUGGGAUGCUUUAUGGUGAUAUAUAUAUGUGUGUGUAAUUAACUUCUUGAUAAUACGAAUGAUACGAAUGAUACGAAUGAUAAUUUUUAUGACAAUGUGAGCCUAGAAACCUAUUAGAAGUAUCCUGGUAGAACUUGUAUGCUUAUGUGACAUGUUAGUUAGUGGCCAUGAGGAAUUGAUAGUGCAGGUGAUUACGUUGUAAAUCAUAGAGGUUGAGAUAUACGAGUAAGUAGGUUGUGUGGUGAUAAGAAUGGAUCAUGUAAUAAUGUGGUACGUGGGUGGUCCUGCUUGGUUAAUCUACAUUAGGGGACCACGCCAUGUGAUGCAGGGGUAUGGUCCGGUUUGGUUAAUACACAUUAAGGGACCAUACGCAUCAUAGGGGUGACCCUGCUUGGUUAAUCCGCAUUAGGGAGUCACUGCCUAGGCCAUUUCUUUAUUUCCAUAGUUGGUCUUACUUGGUUAAUCCGCAUUAGGGGACCAUACUAUGGACGAUCCUACUUGGUUAAUCUGCAUUAGGGGACCAUAUGCAUCAUGGGGGUGACCCUGCUUGGUUAAUCCAUAUUAGGGGGUCACUGCCUAUUCCAUUUCUCUAUUUCCAUAGUUGGUCAUGCUUGGUUAAUCUGCAUUAAGGGACCAUACUAUGGGCGGUCCCAAUUGGUUAAUCCGCAAUAAAGGAUCAUACUAUCGGAUACAUGCCUAUGGUUCUACUUGGUAUAUCUGCAAUAGGGGACCAUACGCAAUCUAUGAGUGAUUAUACUUGAUAUAUCCGCGAUGGGUGAUCAUUGCCUGCACAGUUGGAUUAUGCUUAUGAUUCUGCUUGGUAUAUUCGCAAUGGGAGACCAUACACAUUUUAGGGGUGAUGAGGAUUAGUUGUACUUGGUACAUUUCGAUAGGAGCCAUAUUUUAGUCGAAUUUCGUUGAGUGGUUCGAAAUCCUUACUCUUGCUUAUUUCCACAUAAUUAGUCUCGAACCCUAGAUUCGAGUGAAUGAGGAUUACUCACAGUAGACCUUAUGAAUAUAAAUUAGAUUUACCAUGUUAUUACUUAUAAAUCAAGUAAGGAAUUAUGUAGGGUUCUUUAAAUUAAUUCAUGAAAUGAUAUGUUACCUCAUUAAUUGAUUAACGUAGUUAAAUGUUAUUAUUAUGCAUCCUUGAUUCAUGAAAUUGAUUAAUUUACAUGAUUGUGGAAUGACAUUGGUUAUGGUUGGUGUUACUAUGAUUAGAUUAGUUGAUUAAUGUGGAUUGAGAAUAAUAUUGUGCUUCAUUGGUUCUUUGAUAUGAUACAUGUUGUGAAUUGAGGUAUCAUGUUGAAAACAUAGUGAUUUAUAUGAUCGAUGGAAUGGAAAUCUUGAAUGUCAUGUGGGUUUAUUUUGUAGCCCUGAACCUGGUAAUUUCAUGCUUUUCAAGUUCUAAUAAUUGAUUGAGGAAUGCUCUACUUUUAUGCUUAAACGUACUGUGAUAAACUCAGAGUGUAGUGAAUGGUGAACUACGAAUGACUUGAUCCCGUCUUUGGGUACAUAGGCAGUCUAACACAAAGGUUAGAUGCAGCCAUGAAAUAAAAGAAAAUGACUGCGUGGUUAAAUCAUAUUAUUUUUUUUCUUGUCUCGGAGACGAGACAUGAUGAAUAAACUAAGAUGUGCUGAUAUCACGUGUCGAUCUUGGACGUAUGUCGGGAUCGGGGCAUGACAAAAGUGACCACCGCCAUAAUCACCACCAUUGUUGCCACCACCACCACACUACAAUUGUGCCACCACCACCACCACCAUUGCCAUUGUUACCACCAUGCCAUCACCCCCACCAUAAACACAACCGCCACCACUGCUACCACAACUGCCAUCAUCACUGUUAUUGCCACCCCUACCACCGAUGUUGCCUCUGCAGCCCAACCACCACACCCCUUUAUUGGCACCACCACCACCAGCACCACACCAUCACAACCCUUGCCCUUAUCACCAUUGUCGUCGUCAUCACCAAUAUUGUUACGUCUAUUUUUGUCAUUAUAUACAAUUAUAAAUUAUCAAACGCUUUUACACUGUUUUUUAUACUCACAACACUUCUAAAAAUAUAGUUCAUCAAACACUAAACAACUUUAUUUUGUACCAGAUUAUUCUUAAAGCACAUCAGAAGCAGGUUUUUAAAAAAACACAUCAAUCUCAAAAUGGCCUUAAGAUUAUGGGUUUUUCAAUUGAGGUAAAUAUAUUAUGUAUUUGACCAAAACGAUUUUAAAUAAUUUGUCAUAAGAUGACGCGAAAGAAGAACGGAAAUGUGACACAUGAAAUUGAACCAAAGCAAAUGAUUUUCUUGGGUUUUAACACCCAUAUAUUUUUUUGUUGGUUUAUCAUUUUCACCAAGCUCCACCUCAUCUAUAAUCUUUAUGUAUUAUGUUCCGAUCCCGAAACCAAGCUCCACCUCAUCAAUAAUUAAAUAAUUUGAUGGCAUUACUUUUGUUUCCUUUCUCAAUUUAAAGGCCCAAACAAGAAACAAAGCAACACUAGACAAAGACCACUGCUGUAUAAUGGGUGUUUUAGAAACUCAAAAGGAAAGAAACUCAAAAGCUUCAAUUUGUUUGUCGUGCUCUUUUAACUUCCACUUUUACUGUUAUACAAGCGAAAACAAGAGAGAUUUAAUAUGAGUAAAGGGAUACUUUACUUCUUGAGAUACAAGUUUACUGUUGUAAUCUAGCAAGGUUUCUUCUAAGGAUCUUGGCUUUCUUUAUCUGUAAAGAAGAUGGGUUUUUGGUUGUUUAAUUAAUUUCUACCCAGAAUUGCAAGAUAAAAAGGGAUACAAAGGAGAAGACACACACACACGUGUUUUUUUAAAGAUGAUUACAUUUCCUGGAUAGAACUGAGAAGAUAUAUAAACCGGCAAACAAGUUUAUUUAUCUUAGGAAAGUAACAGUAUUUCCAUAUUCACUUUCAUGUUAUUACAACUUUCAUCUUAUUACAACUUUGAUGUCGAAAAUUAGAAAAUUUAAGGAAGGUGGUUUUCUUAUCAGUUAGGGUUUCUAUAAUGCGCGUUGAAUUCUUUAUCUAAGUAAGUUUUUAUCUGUUAGAUCACGACGGCUCACUGUCAAAUUAAAUGAAAAGUAAUGAAAGCACAAAACAGAAAACAAAAUAUCGUAGUUGACUGCUGGUAGGAUAAAUUUGCAGUUAAAUUUCAUCGAAAACAUUAAACUUGACAAGGAUUACCAGAACCAUAAAAUUACCACAUAACAAGUACACAAAGGAAACGAAAAACUUGAAACAAAAGUUCACAAACAAAUAACCAACGACAUAAGAAAACAGACUGCAUACUUUUAUUUAGACCAUUUUUUAGUACCCUCAAAACUAAUUGGCAAGUUAGUUAAUCCCCAUAAGUGACAAUGCUGUCCAUAAUCUUGGCCACUACCUCCUUAGAAUCCCUCAGUUUUUUUAUGCUUUUGUUAAGCUUCUCACGCUUUACUGCCACUGCCGGGGACUCCUCCAACAUCCUCUCAAUUCCCCCACCGUAAGGUCCCAACAACUCAUUCACAAUCUCAGCUUCCAUCUCUUUGUUCACAAGGUUGAAAACAGACAGCUGCAAGUGCAAUGCCAUGCAGUCCACAAGCCUCCUCAAAACAACCUUCCAAUAAGCAAUCAUUCUCAUUUUAAGGUCAUAAGCUUGAGCUAACACAUGCGGGUACUUCCUCAGAACACCGACUUCCACUUCCCCGAUGCCUUCUAUAUCUAUGAUAGAAGGCUUCUUCUCAUCAGUUAAGACUCCAUGAAUGAAUUCGUUUUGACUAGCCAUCAGCUUGUUCCAUUCGGAAACAUAAUCACCAUCACAUGUAUAAUCUGUCAGCUUUUCCAUCUCUACAAGCUCCAGCAUCCACUUGAUUGACCUCUCCUUCAUCUUGGCCAUUAGACUAUGGCCGGCACGCCUUGCUGACAGCUGCAGCUGAUGAUAGUUAUCCGUAUAAUGCAUCAACACAGAAAUAACCACCUCUUCAAUGUAGUUCCACACUUUUUCCUCAAAUGCAAUCGGAAUACUCGAAAUUUCAUUCACUUUUGCCUGCAAGAUAAUGAGGAAAGCAUUGCGUGGAAGGAAGUUCGGAAGUGAAAUACCUUUGGCCUCCUCCAAGAUCCUGAUCUCCUCCAUCAAGAAGUUGCUCUUUGCAUCAGUUUCAGCACAUCUGUGAAGUUCAUCCGAGUACUGGUUGAGCAUCUCAACCAAUCUAGCAGUGCAGUGCAUGCGAUUGUCUUCCGCGUACUCCUGAAAUUCUCCUCUCAAAAGAAUCUUCCUAAGCGAUUCCUUAGCCAAGCCAGUGAUUUGCAUAAAAGCCGUCAUGGCCUCAGCAACCGAUGAAAGACUCUUUGGCAUUUUGUUCAGCUCCAUAAUGCAGAAGUUCAGCCUGUCAUUGAUCUUCUUCACUAUCUCAGGUAUAUUUCUUGCUAUGCUGUUUGCUUGAAUUUGGACCAGCUUCUGUGCUAAAACUGGAAUGCCGACAAUGGACUUGUCAAUCUUCGAAAGCAGAGGAUGGGUUUGAAAUAGUUCAUGAGCCAUCACCGCUGCCUCCUCAUCAGUUUCGUCACCAAUCCUGUUCCUUACACAGACAUAACCAAGACCAAUGUUUACAUCAUCUCCAGUGACCUUCUCAAGUAGUCCUUCCGGUGCCUUGUCCACUUUCGUAACCACAGCGAGCGUCCUCUCACCAGUUUUAUCUACACUUUGUGACAUCCGGAUUGACUCACACGUAGUAAAAUCCACCGUAGCAGACAAUACAUUCAGAAUAAUACUUUCCUCCGGCUUAAUAUACUCCAUGAUCAUAUCUUUGAUCUGAUCAUAGAUAUUUUCAGGUUGGCCAUGGACUGGAACCCUUGUGAUUCCCGGAAGAUCAACCAUAGUCAGAUCCGGAACCCCAUACUUCUUCACCAACAAAGUAAGUGGCGUGUUUGAAAUUCCCUUACCUCCCCCCGCAAUAGAAUUAGUAGCUUUCACAAUAUCUUUGGUGAUAUUUUCUUCAUCAGUACGAUCAACUCUGCCAUUGUACUCCAAGGAAAGUUCAGGCUGAGGACUCGAGUGGUGUUCGAGCCUCAUAAUAAGAGGCACUCUCGUGCAGAUGCCUUGGCCCCGAGGUAGGCUGAUGCCGGCCAAGGAUUCGAGCACGCUAGACUUCCCGGAUGACUGGUCUCCGACCACCACAAUCGUUGGCAGCUGAAUGCCUUCAUCCAUCACCUUCAAGCUGCGUAACUUGUCUACCGCAUCCAGAAGAGGGCGGAUCUUGUCGUUAUAGGACGACACAAUGGGUGCGCAUUUGAGGGGUACUGCGUCUAGUCCUGCCUGAACCAUUGCGAGGGAGCCUUCACCGUUUAUAACUGUGCGACUCGAUUCCAUUUUCCUUGGUCCUUGCGUUUCUGAAUUAUAGCAAGUCAAAACAAUGGUGAAAAAUCUAGAGGGAAACCGAGAUUGUAGAGAGAUGAGAGAGAAUUCGAAGAUGGAAAAUGUUCUGUAUUGGGUUUAUGACUUAAUGGAGUAAAAUGUUCUAUUUAUAGCUACUGCUAUAUAUCAUUCUUAGCCCUUAAGCAACUUAACUGACUCUCAAUCAACAAUAGCAACACAUCUAACAAAAAUGCUACUUUUCCGAUAUAUUUGUACCAUCAUUUGCUUACAUUGAUAAAUCGGACUCAUACUCAUAAGCUGACAUGGCAGCCACAUGACUUAAAAGUAAGAAGAUUACUUGUCAGCGAAGAUAUCAGUCAGGAAGAAGUGAGAAAGCUGGGUUUAGUAAGUGCCUUAGGCUUAAAGGCUCCUAGUUGUAUGUAUAAUUGUUCAGCAAAACCUAUCGAAGUAAAUGACAACCAGCCUUUUCAAAACCGCAUGCUGAGAGAGUUGUGAUUUGGACUUCCAAACGUUCAGCAAACCAAACCGCUUGCGAGCCUUUGAACUUCUAAACCCUAAUCAGUGUAAAUGUAAUAUGGACAGUUAACUGAUAACCAUUUUUUGUGCUUGAUGCUCUUGAACUUCAGUCAACCUUUAUAUAUUAUUCAUUCAAAUAAUCGAUGACUAGCUAGCCAAUGUAAGUUGUAACCCAACAGAGACGAGAUGUUGAAGAAAAUUAAAUAUUUUUUGUAAUUUGGUAAGACAAACAAAGGCACCCAUUGGAGAAAGGGAAGUGCUAGCAGCCUUUGCCCUAACAUUUGUGUUUGGACCUCUUCACUUUAACAACUAACAGGUAUCAUUUUCUAUACAAAAAAGCAAGAAUUUUAAAGCUUUUGUCUAGGAAUUAACGAUGAGAAAUAUAAAAUAUACAUUAUUAUGUCAUUCAUUAAAAUGAAAAUUUUCAAAUGCAAAAGUUAGUGCAAAAGUGUAUUUCUCUUAGAAAAAUUCAAUCUAACAACCAAAAUUAAAGUUAACAAAAAAAAGUAGAGAACUUAAUUCAUAUUGAAUCUACCCUUAUGAUCGUGCUCCAGAAAAAUUGAGAAGGAUGCAGGGUUUUUGAAUUUGGUAAAGCUUAAGGAUUAAGGUUGCUGUUUUUUUUUUUUUUUUUUUUUUUUUUUUUUUUUUUUGGAGAAAAGUGGAAGAGAAAGAGCCUUUGAAGAUUCCUUUCUGAGUUUUCACAUUGUGGGGAUUUUGUUUCACUUUUACCAUUGUAAGACCAUAGAUAAUGGAUGCUGACAUGGUUGGACAGAUGUCGAAUAGUGGUGUGGUAUGCCCAAUCGGUUUAGGUUGCUGAAAAUAGCAACUUUAACUAAAAAUAGUGCAGGACUUUAAAAGAGGAAGGGGAAAUAAGAGUUUGAGGAAAAAGAGGCAACUUUAAUUCAUCAUUUCAUAGGUUCUUUACGCUCUCCAUUAUUACAUAUUUAUGCUCCUCAUAAAAGAGAAAAUAGAGUUUUAACGAAAAGCCCGCGGUACUGUUCACUUUAAUGAAAAACCACAUUUUUACACUAAAAAGUCAAAUCUGGUACUAUUCAUAUUACUCUUUAUUUUGUUCUUAUCGUUAAAAUUCAAAGUUUUAAAGCAUUUUUCAUUAGUUUUCCUAAGAGAACAACCCUAGCUACUUGGACAUAAAAAAAAAGGCUAGUACGGGCAAGUUGCAAGAGGAGAAGUAGUGGGCUCAAGUAAAUGGGCUUAAUAACUCCCCCCUCUCCUUGAGAAUAGGCCUGACCUUAGGUCAAGAAAUCGAGGUAACGGGCCAAGAUGUCGUCAGCUUCCUCCCAGGUGACAUCUUCAGUGGGUAGGCCAACCCACUUGAUCAACCAUUUUGUCGCAGCUUUAUUUUUUUUUCUUGAAUAUGCCCUUGUCUAAAACUCUUUCUGGUUGCCAGUGUAGAACCCCAGUGGAGUCGAUAGGAGGCAAAACUGACAGUGGAGGAGAAAUACUACCAAUCUUUUGUUUAAGGAGAGACACAUGAAAGACGGGGUGGAUUUUGGAGUCUAAAGGCAAACGAAGCUGAUAUGCUACGAAACUGAUGCGCUUAGUUAUCUGAAAAGGUCCAUAGAACUUGGGUGCCAGCUUGUUUGUUGUUCUAGUAGCCACUGAUUGUUAGCGGUAUGGUUAAAGCUUCAGGUAAACCCAGUCACCAACAUUAAAUUCCCGCUCAGUUCUCUUGUUAUCAUAGACUUGUCUCAUUUUGUUCUCUGCAAGCUGCAAAUUUGUUCUCAUAAGACAGAUUAAUUUGUCCUUAUCCUGUAUUGCAGCAUCAAUUGAGUGUACCGUCGUGGAGCCGAGCAUAUACAUGCAAAGGUGGUUCAAUGUCAUAAACAGCCUGAUAUAGAGACAUUUUGAUGGAAGAUUGGAAGCUUGUAUUAUACCACCAUCUAGCCCAGGGAAUGAGAGAAGACCAAUUGGUGGGUUUGUCUAUUGAGAAACAUCGAAGAAAAUGUUCCAAUGUGCAGUUAAGGACUUUCAUUUGCCUAUUCGUUUGAGGGUGGUAACCUAAACUUAGGCAAAGUUUGUUGCCUUGGAGUUUAAAGAACUCUUGCCAAAAGUUACUAAGAAAAUUGGGUCGCGAUCUGAAACGAUCUAUUUUGGCAUACCAUGGAGUCAGAAAACCUCAUUGCUGAAAGUAUCAGCUACAAAGGCAACUGUGUAUGGGUGCUUUAAUGGGAUAAAGUGGCCAUACUUUGAUAGGCGAUUGAUGACAACUAGGAUCACGGUGUACGCGUUGGAAAAUGGGAGCCCUUUGACAAAAUCAAGAGUGAUGUCCUGUCAUAUGCCAGUGGGGAUGAGCAAGGGAUGCAGUAACCUAGGAGGGUGUUUUGUAUGCAUUAAGCCACAAUUUUUUUUUGUUUCCUUUCGAAUUCCCGGCCAUAAAACUUUUUUGGAGAGUCUUUUGUAUGUUCAAAGGAAGCCCAAGUGACCAUCUUAGAGAGAUGCAUGGAAUUCAUCCAAGAGUUUAGGUUGCCAUUGGGAUGUGAGUAGUGGGACAAAGAUCUGUUGCUUGUAGUGCAACACAUCAUUUAUAAUUGAGAACCCUUUGAUUGAAGUGUUGGGUAUUGGAACUAAAAGAUUCCAAACCUUUUGCACUUCUAGAUCCUAUGCAUAAGACUGUUGCAACUGAGGAAUGCAAUCAAAUAUAGGGGUAGAGAGGCCUAUUAAGAGCAAAAGUUCUUGUUGGCAGGAGAUAGCAUAUGGAGCACUGUUUUGAGAACCCGACCUAUACUCGACCGAGUAGUUGUACCCCAACAAUUUCACCAGCCAUUUUUAAUUUUUUUCACAAAAACUGUAAGUUAUAACUCACGUUUUCCAAUCGAUUUUAAGAACUUUUACAAGAUUCAUUAUAAGCCAAAAUUUGAGUCGUUUUAGUCGCACCACAUGUUUUCUAAAAUUAAUUUAGGACAUCCCAAAUAUUUUUCAACACCUACAAAUUUCUUUGGUGGCUUCACUAUUAGUUUAUACUAUUUUUCUAACUCAUAGUAACAACGAAAAAAUUUCUCAGCAUGACCAAAAUGAUUGAUGGUGCAUCAGAGACUACUUUUAUCGAUUUCAAAUUUGAAGGACUAAAGUAAGGAGUUAUGCCAGAAAGUGGCCCUCUACCACAGUGGUGGAGAGGAGUAUUGGCCUUACACUACGACAGAGCUUCGAACCAUGACGGCUCCCUAAUCUAACAUCUAAUUAAAAAAUCUAUUGUUUGACGAAGAAAAAAAAGUAAGGAGUUAUGUCAAUUUCAAAAUCCGUUUUGGCCCCUUUUUAACAUGGAUGGAGGGUUUCAAAUUCCUUGUUACUACCUUUUAGGGGUUUUAUUAAAUUUUAUGAAUUUUUUUGUUGGUAUAUUUGAGCGUGUCUUUAAAAUGAUUAAAAUUGUUUUAAUAUAAUAAAAUAAAAAGUGUUUAUGACAACAUUUUGACCAAAAAAAGGACUUUAUGGAGAGGUCUAUGAGCAAAAUGCAACUCUUACUACCUAUUUGUACUAUAAUUUGUACCACUAAUAAAGAUGAGACUCACAUGCGUUGGCGAGCCUUACCUCUAUUAGAGAUAUAGUAGAAAUAUAUGGUAAAUGUAGCAUUACUCGUCUAUGAGUGUUUUCAACGGAGUACAAUUCUCUGUCAUCCUAUUCCUAGUGUGGUUUAGUCCAUACUAAGUGUAUGGAUUCUAACAAACGAUCAAUUAAAACAUGAAAUCUAAUAUGGACAUUUAAUUAAAUGUUUAUUAAUAUUUACGGUGCGGUUCGGUUUCGGUGUAGUUUUCAAAAGCCAAAACCGAAACCAAACCGUUUUCUAUGUUGCGGUUCGGUUUCAAAACCGAAACCGUUUCAAAACCGCAAAACCAAACCAUUCGGUGCGGUUUGAUUUGGUUCGUGUUUUGGUUUCGGUUUUCGGUUCUAAGUGCCAAUCCCUAGGAGAGCGUGUCCCUUUUUUUUGAAAAAUAUGGAUCAUUUCCCUUAAGCUCCUCCUACACACACACACACACACACACACACACACACACACACAUAUAUAUAUUAAAAUGAUAACCUUUCUUGGAUAGAACUGAGCAUAUAAACAUGCAAAGGUAAUGUUAGAGAGACCAAAGUUUUAAACAAAAUAAUGUGUUACCAAUAAAAAAUAAGCACGUUAAUCAACGCUAAAGUAAUAAUUCAAUUAUCAAUAAGCACAUCAUUUGGUUUGUAAAUUUGAUUUAAAAAAUUUGGUCUCCCUAACAUUAUCCAACCUGCAAACAAGUUUAAUUAUCUUAGACAAGCAACAUUAUUUACAUAUUUACUUUCAGGCAAUUACAAAUUUGACGUCGAAAAGAAGAUUUAAGGAAAAUGGUUUUCUUAUUAAUUAGGAUUUUUACAAUGCGUGUCGCAUUCUUUACCUAAAGUUUUUAUGUCUGUCAGAUUGGUUAUGAAAGCUCACUGUCAUAUUAAUAAACGGUAUUAUAAGCAGAAAACAUGAGACAAAAAAUAGGAGUUAAACUGUAUGUAAGAGGAAAUCGCACUUAAAUUUCAUUAAUAACAGUAAACUUGACAAGGAUUACCACAAUCAUACGACUACGGACUAUUACACAACAAGAACACAAGGGAAACAAAAGAACUUAAAAACAAAAGUUGACUAACAAACAACCACCCACAUCAGACAACAGAAAGCUAAUUGCCAAGUUAGUUAAUCACCAUAAGUGAUAAUGCUGUCCAUAAUCUUGGCCACCACCUCCUUCGAAUCCCUCAGUUUUUUUAUGCUUUUGUUAAGCUUCUCACGCUUUACUGCCACUGCCGGGGACUCCUCCAACAUCCUCUCAAUUCCCCCACCGUAAGGUCCCAUCAACUCAUUCACAAUCUCAGGCUCCAUCUCUUUGUUCACAAGGUUGAAAACAGACAGCUGCAAGUGCAAUGCCAUGGAGUCCACAAGCCUCCUCAAAACAACCUUCCAAUAAGCAAUCAUUCUCAUUUUAAGGUCAUAAGCUUGAGCUAACACAUGCGGGUACAUCCUCAGAACACCGACUUCCACUUCCCCGAUGCCUUCUAUAGUUAUGAUAGAAGGUUUAUACUCGUCAGUUAAGACUUCAUGAAUGAAUUGAUUUUGACUAGCCAUCAACUUCUUCCAUUCGGAAACAUAAUCAUCAUCACAUGUAUAAUCCGUUAGCUUUUCCAUCUCUACAAGCUCCAGCAUCCACUUGAUUGACCUUUCCUUCAUCUUGGCCAUUAGAUUAUGGCCGGCACGCCUGGCUGACAGCUGCAACUGAUGAUAGUUCUCCGUAUAAUGCAUCAACACAGAAAUAACCACCUCUUCAAUGUAGCUCCACACUUUUUCCUCAAAUGCUAUCGGAAUACUCGAAAUUUCAUUCACUUUUCCUUGCAAGAUAAUGAGGAAAGCAUUGCGUGGAAGGAAGUUCGGAAGUGAAAUACCUUUGGCCUCCUCCAAGAUCUUGAUCCCCUCCAUCAAGAAGUUGCUCUUUGCACCAGUUUCAGCACAUAUGUGAAGUUCAUCCGAGUACUGUUUGAGCAUCUCAACCAAUCUAGCAGUGCAGUGCAUGCGAUUGUCGUCCGCAUAGUCCUCAAAUUCUCCUCUCAAAAAAAUCUUCCUAAGCGAUUCCUUAGCCAAGCCAAUGAUUUGCAUAAAGGCUGUCAUUGCCUCGGCAACAGAUGAAAGACUCUUUGGCAUUUUGUUCAGCUCCAUAAUGCAGAAGUUCAGCCUGUCAUUGAUCUUCUUCACUAUAUCGGGUAUAUUUCUUGCUAUGCUGUUUGCUUGAAUUUGGACCAGCUUCUGUGCUAAAACUGGAAUACCGACAAUGGACUUGUCAAUCUUCGAAAGCAGGGGAUGGGUUUGAAAUAGUUCAUGAGCCAUCGCCGCUGCCUCCUCAUAAGUUUCGUCACCAAUCCUGUUCCUUACACAGACAUAACCAAGACCAAUGUUUACAUCAUCUCCAGUGACCUUCUCAAGUAGUCCUUCCGGUGCCUUGUCCACUUUCGUAACCACAGCGAGCGUCCUCUCACCAGUUUUAUCUACACUUUGUGACAUCCGAAUUGACUCACACGUAGUAAAAUCCACCGUAGCAGACAACACAUUCAGAAUAAUACUUUCUUCCGGCUUAAUAUACUCCAUGAUCAUAUCUUUGAUCUGAUCAUAAAUAUUUUCAGGUUGGCCAUGGACCGGAACCCUUGUGAUUCCCGGAAGAUCAACCAUAGUCAGAUCCGGAACCCCAUUCUUCUUCACCAACAAAGUAAGUGGCGUGUUCGAAAUUCCCUUACCUCCUCCCGCAAUAGAAAUAGUAGCUUUCACAAUGUCUUUGGCGAUAUUGUCUUCAUCAGUACGAUCAACUCUGCCAUUGUACUCCAGGGAAAGUUCAGGCUGAGGACUCGAGUGGUGUUCCAGCCUCAUAAUAAGAGGCACUCUCGUGCAGAUGCCUUGGCCCCGAGGGAGGCUGAUGCCGGCCAAGGAUUCGAGCACGCUGGACUUCCCCGAUGACUGGUCUCCGACCACCACAAUCGUUGGCAGCUGAAUGCCUUCAUCCAUCACCAUCAAGCUGCGUAACUUGUCUACCGCAUCCAGAAGAGGGCGGAUCUUGUCGUUGUAGGAUGACACAAUGGGUGCGCAUUUGAGAGGUACUGCGUCUAGUUCUGCCUGAACCAUGGCGAGGGAGCCUUCACCGUUUAAAUCUGUGCAACUCGAUUCCAUUUGCCUUGGUCCUUCCGUUUCUGAAUUAUAGCAAGUGAAAAUAAUGGUGAAAAUUCUAGAGAGAAACCGAGAUAAUUUCAAGCUUAAUUAGCUAAAGAAUUGAGGUUCUCUGGCAGUUUACCCUCCAGUUUAUAACAUUUUUUUACUAAGAAUGUUUUCAGGUAAGGGAAAACACCACUUUCGUGAUCCAGUAGGAAACGGAGCCUUUCUUUCAACCGCUGCAUUUCCACAAACUCAAGAGACUCUAAUACCCGAAAAGGCAAGUUACGCUCUCCUUAAAACUCAGCACCAAUUCGAAGAUGGAGUAAAAUGUUCUGUAUUGAGUUUGUGACUUAGUGGAGUAAAAUGUCCUAUUUAUAGUGAUGCAGUACAAGACUCUCAUGCAUGUAUUGGAAUCUACCAAGAGUUGGAACCAUCAAAUAUAUUUAAUGGAGUUUUAGAGCAACACAACUAAUUAAGUAGUCAUUUAAGACCAUUUUAAAUAUUUUGGGUAGAGCAAAAGUCCAAUUCGGACUAGAGUUUCAUUGUGUUGUAUUCCUUAUAAAUAUAUGUACUAAUUGUAUUCCUUAAAUGACUACUUAAUUAGUUGUGUUGCUCUAAAACUCCAUUAAAUAUAUUUGAUGGUUCCAACUCUUGGUAGAUUCCAAUACAUGCAUGAGAGUCUUGAUUACUACAUCAUUUAGCUACUGCUAUGUGUCAUUCUUAGCCUUCAAGCAGCUUAACUGACUCUCAGUCAACAAUAACAACACAUCCAACAGCUUAAGGAUUGCUGUUUUUAGUGGAGAAAUGUGGAAGAGAAAGAGCCUUUGAAGAUUCCUUUAUGAGUUUGCACAUUGUGGGAGAUUUUGUUUCACUUUUACCAUUGUCAGGCCAUAAUCAUGGAUGUUGACAUGGUUGGACAGAUGUCGAAUGAUGGUGUCAUUGGGCCCCCACCAUCAAAGAAAAAGCAGUCCCCAUGGGGCAUCUAAGCGGAAAGAGAAUCCAUUAUAGUAUAAAGAUUUAGCAUUCACACUCAUAGCUUCGACAUCAAUCAUUUUCUUCCUUGCCGAUGUUCUUUAUAUUUUGCUUUCUUUAUUUCUUGAUAAGUUGUUUCUGGAUGAUAUUUUUUUAGAAUCUCUUGGAUGUCGUAUGCGUGCUACGUCACUCGUUUGUAUCAAAACACGCAUAAACAUUAUUUCUUUCAAUCGAGAUUUAAAAUUAAAAGUCUACAUACACUUUUUUGUUGUAAUUUGACUGAUGGACCAUAAUGUUGGAUUGUGAACUACCUUAGUACAUAUGUGUAGAAGUGUGGCAGGUGACGUAAGCAUAAAUAAUCAUUUUAACAUGCAUGUUAGCAAAAUGUUAAAUUGUGUUUAAUCAUAUUAAAUUAAUUUAUGUAUUGGUUUUGUUCAGGUAUAAUAAAAUUAAAAACACAUGUAUAAACUUAGUGUAAGUUUUAGGAUUCUCACCUUUAGAUUUCAUAGGUGGACAAAUUCAAUGUUGUUAAAGAUCCCAAGUGUUAGCCCUCAACUAGUGUCUACACGAAUAAAUAUCUGGCUAGUGAAGCAAAAAAACGACAAUUUGCUAGAACUUUAUCCAUCAGGUAGGUGUUGCCAUAAAGGGAUUUGGUAUGGUGUUUUGUUUUUCAAUUCUCUAAAUUGGAAAACCUAUUUCUUUUCUCUCUAAUAUCUAUUUGCGAUUAUUGAAUUCUCACACUAUGUUACAUAGACCCCUUAGGCUUAUAAAAAGAACAAUCUGUAAUUAAGCCAAUUGUGUGUUGCACGCCCUAGGGAAAUUUUUUAGAAACUUUUGGGUUCACUAGUCUGUAUCACGUCACUCGCUUGUCUCAAGAAGAGAUCCUUUCACAUCACCAGUUUACCACACUAAAAUUUUGAAUUUAUUAGAUGGAUAAUACAAUUUGUUUAAUAAAUGACCAACUUUACAAAUAUUUUUGUGAAGUGAUUUCACACAUAUUUUUUAGCUUUUACACACCCAUGUUUAAUUUUAGAUGUUGAUUCCGUUUGAUUUAUUUAAUCUGGUGGCCAUAAAUAAAGAGAGGUACGUGGAAAACUAAAAAUGGUGUGUGAAAAUCCUUGACACUACUAAGCAUGAAUUUUAGUAAGAUGAAAAAAGACCUUCGCUUGAUACCCGUGGGAGGACGUGACAUGACUUCCUUUAUUGAAGGAUGAGGAAUGCUAAUGUGACUUUCAAAAGUAGGACUUUCUAAUGACUCUCUGCCACCUCAUAGCUAGUUUAAUGUCAAUUCAUUCACGUGCCAACAUUAUAACACAAAUGCUAGGAAGGCUACAUUUAUAGACAAAAUUUGUAUACUAAAUGACAUGAAAGUUGAUGAUUAUAUUAUUAUUUAAGCGUUGAUAAACGUGCUCAUUUUCUAUUGGUAACAAGUCAUUUAGUUUUCAAAUUUUGUCUACAAAUUUAGUCUCCAUAGCAUUACCUGCAUUAUAAAGUAUUGUGCCAAAUAUAUGAGCUGACAAAGAGUCCAUAGAGAGUCUCAAUUUUGAGUCUCAUUAGCAUUUAUCUUCAAGAAUUUAUCCACAUUCUCCUCACGUAAUAAUUUCACCAAAAAUGUUUUCUAAAUGCUCACUUAUCAAGAUUAAACCCCCGUUUGGUAUUUUAUUUUUUGGGUAAAAGACUGUUUACUACCCUCAUGUUUCGUGGUUUUCAACAUUUAGUACAUCAUGUUUUUUUCGUCUCAGAGUCAUACCUAAAGUGUAAAUUUUGGGACAGUCUCAUACAUCCGUUAGUCAAACUGUUAAGUUUUUCGUUAACUGUGACGUGGCGCACUGACUGGGCGCCACGUGUCAUCCACGUUUUUUUUUUUUCUUUUUCUUUUUUCUUUCUUUUCUUUUCUUCUUCUUCCUUCUUCUUCUUCUUCCUCCGACUGCAACUUUUUUUUUUUUUUUUGCUUCUUCCUUUUCCUUCUUCCUUCCUUCCUCCUUCCUUUCCCUUUCUUCCCCUUCUUCCUUCUUCUUCCUUCUUCUUCCUCCGAAAUCUGGGGAAUGUUUUUUUUUUUCUUUCUUCUUCUUCCUCCUUCCUUCCCCUUCUUCCUUCUUCUUCUUUCUCCUUCUUCUUCUUCUUCUUCUUCCUCCGAAAUCUGGGGAAGUUUGUUUUUUUUUUUCUUUCUUUCUUCUUCUUCCUCCUUCUUCUUCUUCUUCUUCUUCCUCAAAAAAAAAAAAAAAAAAACACUUUUAUCUUUUCUUCCUCUUCUUCUUCUUCUUCUUCUUCUUUCUCUUUCCUCCUUCCUUCUUCUCCUUCUUCUUCUUCUUCUUCUUCUUCCUCCGAAUCUGCCCAGAUUCAAUUUUUUUUUUCUUCCUCCUUCUUCUCCUUCUUCUUCUUCUUCCUCCGAAUUUGGGGGAAGAUGAAAGUGUUUUUUUUUUUUUGAGGAAGAAGAAGAAGAAGAAGAAGAAAGAAAGAAAAAAAAAAAAAACAUUCCCCAGAUUUCGGAGGAAGAAGAAGGAAGAAGAAGGAAGAAGGGGAAGAAAGGGAAAGGAAGGAGGAAGGAAGGAAGAAGCAAAAGGAAGAAGCAAAAAAAAAAAAAAAAAAACAAAAACAGAAAGUUGCAGUCGGAGGAAGAAGAAGAAGAAGGAAGAAGAAGAAAAGAAAAGAAAAAAAAAAGAAAAAAAAAAACGUGGAUGACACGUGGCGCCCAAUCAGUGCGCCACGUCACAGUUAACGAAAAACUUAACAGUUUGACUAACGGAUGUAUGAGACUGUCCCAAAAUUUACACUUUAGGUAUGACUCUGAGACGAAAAAAACUUGAUGUACUAAAUGUUGAAAACCACGAAACAUUAGAGUAGUAAACAGUCUUUUACCCUUAUUUUUUUCAACAAAAGUUGCUUCACUUUAAAGUUAAGCAGUAAGAAUGUGUUUGGUAAAAAUAAAUUAUUUUGCUUAUAUUAAAAGUAAUGCAUGUCCUCCAGACAGCAACUUUUAAAAGCAGCAUGUAGGUAAAGCUGUUUUUAAUAAAAAGCAGAAUUGAGCUUUCAAUGAAUAUUUUUAAUUCCUGUAAUAUGCUCAAUAAUUUUAGAAAAUAACAUUAUUUAUUCUUGUAGGCACAUUUUAUCAUUGGAGAACAAAGUGACCACCACUAUAAACCCUAACCUCUUACACUACCAUUGCCAUGAUCACCACCAUUGUUGCCACCACCACCACACUACAAUUGCGCCACCACCACUACAACCAUACACACCACCGCUACCUUUGCCAUCAUUACCACCACACCGCCGCCGCCGCCGCCACCACCACCAUAAACACAACUGCCACCAUCAAUGUUGUUGCCACCCCUACGACCAAUGUUGCCUCUGCAGCCCAACCACCACCACCAUCCCAACCCUUACCCUUAUCACUGUUGUCGUCGUCACCACCAACAUUGUUACGUCUAUUUUUGUCAUUAUAUACAAUUAUAAAUUAUCAAACGCUUUUACGCCGUUUUUCAUACUCAACACUUUUAAAAAUACAAUUCAUCUAACACUCAACUGCUUUAUUUUGUAGCAGAUUAUUCUUAAAGCACAUCAGAAGCACUUUUUUUUAAAGCACAUCAAUCUCAAAAUGGCCGUAAGAUUAUGAGUUUUUCAAUUGAGAUAAAUAUAUAAUUUAUUUGACCAAAACGAUUUUAAAUUAUUUGUAAUAAGAUCACGCGAAAGAAGAACAUAAACGUUACACAUGAAAUUAAACCAAAGCAAAUGAUUUUCUUGGGUUUUAACACCCAUAUAUUUUUUGUUGGUUUAUCAUUUUCACCGAGCUCCACCUCAUUUAUACUUAAAGAAAUGUAUUAUGUUCCGAUCCAGAAACCAAGCUCCACCUCAUCAAUACUUGGAUAAUUUGAUGCAUUACUUUUGUUUCCUUUCUCAAUUUGGAGGCCCAAACAAGAAACAAAGCUACACUAGACAAAGACAACUGCUGUAUAGUGGGUGUUUUAGAAACUUAAAGGAAAGAAACUCAAAAGCUUCAAUUUGUUUGUCGUGCUCCUUUAACUUCCUCUUUUACUGUUAUACAAGCGAAAACAAGAGAGAUUUAAUGAGUAAAGGGAUACUUUACGCCUUGAUAUACAAGUUUAUUGUCAUGAUCUAGCAAGGUUUCUUCUAAGGAUCUUGGCUUUCUUUGUCUAUAAAGAAGUUGGGUUUUUGGUUGUUUAAUUAAUUUCUACUAGAAUUGCAAGAUAAAAAGGGAUACAAACACUACAAGAAAGCCGGGCUUAUGUGACGACAGAUAUUCGUCAUAGAAAAUAAAAAUGCGUCACAUUUGAUAAUAUGUGACGCCUUUACAGCGUCACUGCGAACGUCACCUAUGAUGCGUCACGGAAAGUAUAAGUGACUAAUUUUAAAAGCGCCACAUAUUUGUAGUAUAUGUGACACUGUUUUCGUCAAUUAAUAGGAGAUUGUGACGGAUUAGGCGUCACAAAAGAAUAAAUUAUGUGACCUAUAUAAUUCGUAAUGUAUGAAAUAGAUAAGUGACACUGAAGGCGUCACAUUUUUCUUCCAUUUGUGGCAUAGCUUGGGUCACUUAUGUCAAAAUAAAAUAUCUAUUUUGAAAAUAUAUGUGACAAACCAAUACAAUUCCCUAUUUAUAAUAUGAUGUUACAAUUCCUUGUUUAUAAAAAAGAAUCAAUUAUGUGACCUAUAUAAUUCGUCACUUAUGAAAUAGAUAACUAACACUGAAAGCGUCACAUUUUUCUUCCAUUUAUGGCACAGCCUGGAUCACUUAUGUCAAAAUAAAAUAUCUAUUUUGGAAAUAUAUGUGACAAACCAAUACAUAUUCCCUGUUUAUAAUCUGAUAUUACAAUUCAUUGUUUAUAAAAAAGAAUAAAUUACAUGACCUAUAUAAUUUGUCACUUAUGAAAUAGAUAAGUGACGCUGAAAGUGUCACAUUUUUCUUCCAUUUGUGGCGUAGCCUGGGUCAUUUAUGUCAAAAUAAAAUACCUAUUUUGGAAAUAUAUGUGAUAGACCAAUACAUAUUCCCUGUUUAUAAAGGAUCAAGGGACAAACAUUUUGACAAACAUAUAUAUAUAUAUAUAUAUAAUAUAUAUAUGUUUUUUUUUUUAAGAUGAUAACAUUUCCUGAAUAAAACUGAGAAGAUAUAUAAACCGGCAAGCAAGUUUAUUUAUCUUAAGAAAGUAACAGUAUUUCCAUAUUCACUUUCAGGUUAUUACAACUUUGACGUCGAAAAAAUAAGAACAUUUAGGGAAGAUGUUUUUCUCAUAAGUUAGGGUUUCUUCAAUGUUUGUCGGUUUCUUUACCUAAGUAAGUUUUUAUCUGUCAAAUUAGUUACGAAGGCUUACUGUCAAAUUGAAUGAAAGGUAAUGAAAGCAGAAAAUAGAAAACAAAAUAUCGGAGUUGACUAUUGGUAGGAUGAAUUUGAGUUAAAUUUCUUUGAAAACUUUAAAAUUGACAAGGAUUACCAAAACUAUACAAUUACCACAUAACAAGAACACAAAGGAAACUACGAGCUUGUUUGGUAUCCUAUUUGAAAAUUAUUGUCAUUUCUCAAAACAUUUCUUGAAAACAAUUUUCUUUAAGACUAAAAAACUUGACUGGUUUGCGAUUUACAAUUUUUAAAUCUUACAACUAAAAUUAGGCAAAGAGAUCUAAAAAGAGGGGAUCGUAGGAGAGGGAGAAAGAGGAGAGAAGAGGAAAGAAAGCAAGAGAUGAUUGAAGAAAAGAGAAAGAAGAGAGAGAAUCGAACAAAAGAGAGAGGAAGAGGAGUGAGAGAAAGAACAUAGAGAAUGAAAAGAGCAGAUUGAAAGAGAGACGAAACAUGUAAAAAAAUAAAAAUAAAGAGGAGAGAGAGAGAGAAGAAAAGAGAGAGAUUUGGAGUGAGAGGGGAGAAGGGAGAGAAGAAAAAAAAGUGUGAGUUUAAGUUUAAAAACUCUAAAAACUCACUUUUUAUGUUUUUAGAUAAUAGACUAUAUUUUUGAGUUAGUCUUGAGUUUAGUUUUUUAAGUAGUCUUACCAAAGACUAAAACUUGAAAAUUGUUUUUGAGUUUAAAAAAUUGGAUUCAAGGAAAGUAUCAAACAGACGCUAAAAAACUUGAAACAAAAGUUUACAAACAAACAACCAACGACAUAAGGAAAACAGACUGCAUACUUUUAUUUACACCAUUUUGUAGUACCCUCAAAACUAAUUGGCAAGUUAUUUAAUUACCAUAAGUGAUAAUGCUGUCCAUAAUCUUGGCCACUACCUCCUUAGAAUCCCUAAGCUUUUUUAUGCUUUUGUUAAGCUUCUCACGCUUUACUGCCAUUGCCGGCGACUCCUCCAACAUCCUCUCGAUUCCCCCAUCGUAAUGUCCCAUCAACUCAUUCAUAAUCUCAGCUUCCAUCUCUUUGUUCACAAGGUUAAAAACAGACAGCUGCAAGUGCAAUGCCAUGAAGUCCACAAACCUCCUCAAAACAACCUUCCAAUAGGCAGUCAUUCUCAUUUUAAGGUCAUAAGCUUGAGCUAAAACAUGCGGUUACUUCCUCAGAACACCGACUUCAACUUCCCCGAUGCCUUCUAUAGCUAUGAUAGAAGGUUUAUUCUCGUCAGUUAAGACUCCAUGAAUGAAAACAUUUUGACUAGCCAUCAACUUGUUCCAUUCGGAAACAUAAUCAGCAUUGCAUGUAUAAUCUGUCAGCUUUUCCAUCUCUACAAGCUCCAGCAUCCACUUUGACACGCCCUGAUCCGGAUGUCCUGGAGACAUCGGGAUAGUCACGUGCUGGCCGACACCCGAGGGGUGACGAAAGCCAUUUAAAAGGCAUAAGAACGAGAAAUAUGAAUUUAAUAUAACAUUUAAUAGGCAUUUAAGGAACGUGUUCAGAGCAUAUAACUAAUUAGAAUACUAGGAAAAAAAUGAUAUAAAAAUUGAAUAAACAAAAGGAGUGGGUCCUACACCGAGAGGACUCGAAGAUGCCAAUGUAGAAGUGUCUUGACGCCGGGAUUGUAUGCCUCGAUUCUAAGCCCUGAAGGGGGCGCAAAACAAAGGUGAGUGGACCAGUUUGAUAUACAUAUAAUAAAACAGUUAUCAACAUACUAACCCCCUGAUUUUUAUGAAAACACAUAUAUGUAUCAUGAUAAACAUAAGUUUUCCGAAACCUAGAAUGUCGUGCAAUAUCUCAAAUCAUAACUCGCAAAACAUAAUAAACACUAGUGUCAAAUGUCCACAUAUAUCCAUCCAGGCCCUAUGUCAUCUCCCCAUCCCUGAGCAUACAGUCAAAGAAAAUAUGACUUCAGGCCCUAUGCUAGCUCCACUGUCCCUGUUCUAAAUAGUCAGAGGGAAAUACACUCCAGGCCCUAUGCCAACUCCACCGUCGCCCGGGAUGGACCGAAAUCUAUCCCUACAUCCCGUAGCGGAAAUUGGGACAGCUAGGUAAUACAGAAUCAUCGCACAUAUAUUUAUUCAAAAGUAACAUCAUAUAUCAUUCUUAUAAACUCAUGCUUUUUAUGCGUGCAAUUCUACUAAUAAAGCAUGUAUUUUAGAAGGGGUCCACUCACAGUACUUCACCGUCGAAAGCCGCGCUGCUAACAAAGAUAGAAACGCCACAAUAAUUGCCCCUAAGCACAUAAACGUUCCAAUUAAUAAAUCUUUAUUAAAACAAUUGAAUUUGAGAAAACGGACGUCGAAAACGGAUUCAAGACGUUGAAUUACCUUAAGAAGGGUCCUGGAUAAAUUUCGUAAACGUCAAUAGAAUAUUCCACAUCAAGAGUUUGGGCCGGCUAGGGUUUAAGGGUUUAGUGCUUAAGGCCCUAGGUUAAAAAGGUUUGGGUUAGACUUUUAAAAAGGUUAGGCUUAGGUUAAAUAGGUUUAGGGCUUAGGAAGUUGGGUUGGGUCCUUAAGGGUUUUGGGUUUCUAGGUUAAAGGGUUAGGAAAUUGGGUUGAUAAAAAGGGCCUAGGGUAAAUAAUUGGGUUUGGGCUUAAAAGGGUCACGGAUUGGGCUGGAGACCCGUGGGUUUUGGGCUGGUUUCAAAGGACUUGGGUCGAGUUGAUUCGUUUUCAGGCCAAUGAAAUGGUCGAUUUCUGGGUAUCACUUCGAACGCCCAUAACUUCUUCGUUACUCAUCCAAAAUAAGUAAUCCAAACAUGAAAGUUGUAGUACUCGACGAGAUGAAGAGAUUGAUACCCUGCACUCCGCCAAACUCUCCGUGGUUUGGCCGGAAAACACCUCGAAAGGGGCGGUGCUCGUCGGAAAACUGGGUUUUUUGGCCGAAUGUUUGGGUAAUUUUCAAAGCUUUGUAACUUCUUCGUUUCUUAACCACAUUGAGUGAUUCAAAAUCUAAAAUGUAGUUAGGAAUGUGGAGAAGAGGUUCAUACCAAGUGAGGACCGAGUGGUUACCGGAGUUCACCGAAAAACGACCUGAAAAAUCAUAGCAAAAGACAGCAUAGUGAAAGAGGCUUGAGUUGUAGUGCUAGUUGCUGGAGUCGAAGAAGGGGUUGUGGUAGUGAGAGUAGAAAGAAACGGAGCGGAGGGAGUUGGGAAAGAUUGUGAGGUCGGUUUUGAGGUGGCAUUGGAGAAACUAGUGGAGAAACCAAAAGAGGAUUGCAAAGCGGAGGAAGCCAGAGUUCCGAAGGAAGAGAAUCUGGAAACGGUUAUUGAUGGGGGAGCAGCGGUGGUGGGAGCAGAGGUUGUGGGUUUCAAAAGAGAGGAGGAUGUUGGUAAUGUGAAAGCUGAAAAGGAAGUGGAGAAGCUUUGGAACCAUUGGGUGGUUAGAGCUAUAGAGGAUGACGGUUGGGACGAGGAAGUUGUGCCAGACAGCGGCGAGGGUACGCUGGGUGCAUAGGACGUUGUGCCAAACAAGUGCGAAGCGGAAGUUGAGGGGUUCCAAACAGGGGUGUGGGUGCGCUGGGUGCAAAUGAGGUUGCUCUGAAUGGGGAUGAAGUGGCGAAAGAAGGAGCGCCGAAUAGAAGGGACCAUUGGGUGGUUUGACCUAUAGAGGAUGAAGGUUGGGACGAGGAACUUGUACCAAACAGCGGCGAGGGAGCGCUGGGUGCAUAGGACGUUGUGCUAGACAACUGCGAAGCCAAAGUGGAGGAGGUUCCAAACAGGGGUGUGGGUGCGCUGAGUGCAAAUGAGGUUGCUUCGAAUGGGGAUGAAGUGGCGGAAGAAUGAGCUCUGAAUAGAGGGGACCAUUGGGUGGUUGGAGCUACAAAGGAUGAAGGUUGGGACGAGGAAGUUGUGCCAGACAGCGGCGAGGGUGCGCUGGGUGCAUAGGACGUUGUGCCAAACAACUGCGAAGCAGAAGUGGAGGGGGUUCCAAACAGGGGUGUGGGUGCGCUGGGUGCAAAUGAGGUUGCUCUGAAUGGGGAUGAAGUGGCGGAAGAAUGAGCUCCGAAUAGAAGGGACCAUUGGGUGGUUGGAGCUACAGAGGAUGAAGGUUGGGAUGAGGAACAUGUGCCAAACAACGGUGAGGGAGCGCUGGGUGCAAAUGAGGUUGCUCCGAAUGAGGAUGAAGUGGCAGAAGAAGAAGCUUCGAAUAGAGGGGAGACGGAUGCGGUGAAGGUGGUGGCAGGUGCGGAGGAUAUGAAUGGGGAGGUGCAAGAGCCGGAACAGAAUAAGGAAGGAGGGUUGGAGAAAAAGAAAUGGAAGUGGAUUGGGCGGAAGAGGAAGAAAAGGAAAAGCCAGUGGUGGACGUGGUGGCAGGUGUGGAGGAUAUGAAUGAGGAUGUGGAAGAGCCGGAAAAGAAGAAGAAAUGAGGGUUGGAGAAAGAGAAAGGGGAAGUGGAUUGAGCGGAAGAGGAAGAGAAGGAGAAGCCGGUAGUAGACGUGGUGGCAGGUAUGGAGGAUAUGAAUGGGGAGGUGGAAGAGCCGGAACAAAAGAAGGAAGUAGGGUUGGAGAAAGAGAAAGGGGGGUGGAAAAGGAAGAGAAGGAGAAGCCGGUGGUGGACGUGGUGGCAGGUGCGGAAGAUAUGAAUGGGGAAGUGGAAGAGCCGACUGAGAAGGAAGGAGGGUUGGAGAAAGAGAAAUGGGAAGUGGAUUGGGCGGAAGAGGAAAAUGCCGAGGAUUCAAAUAAAAAGCUCGACAUUGUUUUCUCUCUUCUGCUGCUGCUGCUGCUCUAUGUUAUUGAGAGGUUUUUCAAAUUUUGGGGUUUUUGGUUAACACAUUUCAAAGCCUUCUCUUUUCAUUUUCUGGUUGUCAAUGGCUUCAUCCGCCUAAGUUUUCACAUUCUGGAGAUUUUGUUUCACUUUUACCAUUGUAAGACUAUAGAUCAUAGAUGCUGACAUGGUUGGACAGAUGUCGAAUAAUGGUGUCGUUGCGGCCCCCACCGUCAAAGAAAAAGCAGUCCCCAUGGGCAUUCAAGCUGAAAGAGAACUCAUAAUUGUAUAAAGGUUUUGCAUCACAUUCAUAACUCGAUCCGAAAACUUCACAUCUCAGAUUUUCGAUCUGUAACUUCCAAAGAUUUACAUUAUGCUUCUAAAAUAAUAUACUAAAAUAUUACCAUGAUUCGACAGUCGGAUCUUCGCCAAUCAAAAUUCAAGUGGCAGUCAACAUUUUAUUUUGCGAACUUACUAAUCCAAUUCAGGAAGAUUCAUACGUCAAAUUCCCAAUCCGUAAGUUUCUAUGGUCCUCAAAUAUUACGUACUAUAAUGUAUUAAAGUUUUGUGCCAAUCCAACCAUCAGAUCAUCGAUUGCUAUAAUGUUAAAGAGGCAUACCUUAGAGAAAUUAUACCCAAACGAUGGAAUUUCAUUAAUCGGAUGUCAAAUAUGGAAUCAAGGCAUCCAAAUUAGCCUAGUAAGGUCAGGUGGGGUAUUAGCCUAGCGCUGCCGCACACGGCAACUGACCACCCCAACUCGUCGGAAAAUUCAACUAAUUUCAAAAAUUCUCAAAUUUUACCAGAAUGAAGAUCUCAAUUAGUAGAGCAAGUUUUAUACCUAUGGCCACACCUUAAAUCGCCACAAACCUACCGGAACCCUAGAAAUGGGUGGGUUUCAAUUCACCCUCUCCGAUGCUUUGACGUGCCAACCAAAGCUUGGGACUUGUUCCUGGGUUCAAGAGGUGCUGAAAUAUGGUAGUGGUUGACGAAAGAGCUCGCAGAAAUAGCGGAUUCCACUGUCGUGGCUUCGGAACACCCACCAUAGGGUUUGAAUGGAAAAGGAAGAGAUGAGGCCGAAGUGAUGAAUGGUGGGGGUGGAUGGUCACGAUUCACCAGAAAAAUGGCUGAAAUCACGACGGAAAAGGUGCAAGAAGUCUGGUCAUGAACCCGGUAAAAAAGGAUAUGGUGCUCCUCCACUCAAUAGCAAUUAAAUUGCUACCUCGAAAUAUUGAUCAUUUAAAUACUUGAUUGCAAUACUUAUCUGUCAAUCAUGUAUUAUGCUUAAAAUCUCUAUAUAACAUCUCAAAUGGUGCCAAACCAAAAAUUGAAAUAGUAAUCGUAGUUACAUGCAACCUUAACAAAGAUGAGUGUCUAUUACAAUCAUGCUAAAACUAUAGAACGGAUAAAUGCAACAUGUUCACAAAUGUCUGGAUAGUUCAUUCGAACUAGUAGUUAAUCUGAGGGUGAAAUGUGGUAAUACAUAAUAACUUUGUAACCAUGGUUUUCAAGAAGACUCCCAAAACUUGGAAGUGAUACACGCAUCAUGAUGAGGUACAACAAUGACAUGCACAUUAGGCAUCCAAACAUUAUAAUUCAUAUAUGUCACAACAAGUAGAUUCAUUAUGAAAAUUUCUCUCGAAUUUAGUGAAACACUGUGUCGAGAAGGCUAAAAGAACAAUCAAGAAUUUGAGAAUUAAAAUAAGUCCAUCAAUCUAGAAUACAAAGUAACUAGAUUAAUGCAUAACAUCUCACUACAAUGGUAGCUUCUAGAAUAUUCAAUCACCAACGGUAACGAUUCGCUUAGCAGAGUUUGUUGAGUGAUUGAGAAAUUAAUGGUCACAACUGCAAUUCCAAUGUCAAUGGUUCUUCUAGACAGUUUAUCAACUUCAAAAUAAUGCGAAGUGCAAUAGGGUAGGUAGUACCCAAGGUUGACUGGAAUGCCUUCUAACACAAAAGGUGAAUAUGAAAUCACAAUCAAAGUAGAUGUUGAUCAAAAUGUCAGAAAAUCUGAAAAAUUCAAGAAUGAGUAAUUUUCUCAAGUGAUCAAAAUGUAUUCCCUAUGGACCAAUGGAAAGUAAGCUAACUUGUCAAGUCGGCGAUAAUCACCGAAACAUCAUUGUAAUAUCCACAUAUACAAGAUACCUCAUACCAGGAGCUUAUGGUGAUAUUUCUCAUCUCCAUUUGGAUAUAGAAAGUGAAUAUAACCACUCGAACGAUUUCUUGAUAAUUUGUAAGUAACGUCAACCCAAUGCUCAUGAAUUCCAACUAAAAUGAAAUAGGACAGACUAAAAGCAUUUCGGGAGUAGAUAAUGUCUUUUGAUGUGGCAAACAGUAAUUACGUUUCCACAACGAGGAUGAUACACGAUUGUGUAAUUGUAGAUGUUAAUUUGGUUCCUCUAUCACCAUUGUCAGAAAUCUAUUUCUUUCCAAAUGGAUAUGUACUUGCGAGGUCUAAGAUUGAUAGAGAUUUUGGACACGUUUCUCUAUAGAGAAGUGUCAUUCAGUUUUUAAGUAAGAUGGUAACUAUUGACUCUAAGUUAUGAAUAAGAUGGUUCAUUCCAAACGGUUCUACACGUUGGGAAAUAUAAGCGAUUCUCCGUCAUGCUGCCUCUGUACAGCCAAAACAUCCAAAGAACACAUCAUCAUGGAUUUUCAAAAUAAUUAUUAUCAUCGAAAGGUGUAAAACGAAGGUAAGAUGAGACAACAAUUUAGUUGUCAGAAACUUUAUUCAUAAUCAACAUCAUAACUAAAUUAACUUUCCUCGAUCGUAAAUGAGGAAAAAACACUACAGCCGAAGGAUCGCUAACAAAUUGUCGAUAAAAUCGACAUGACCAAAGAUAUCUCGAACGUCACUACACUUCGUGUGAAUUUCAACUUUCUUCCACUAAACCCUUUUUGGAAAAGAAAAGAUUAUCGUUUACGAAGAUCACGUCUCCCAAGAAAAGUACCAAUUUAAUCAAAGUUAAUAGUUGAGCACUUUGGUAUAAAGCUGACUAUUGAUAUUUAGAGAAUUUGGUCUCACUGUCAAGGUAGAUGAAAAAGUCAUCGAUAAGACCACUAUGAAUACGUUAGGCUAUGGGAGAAAACUCAGGUUACAAAGGUUGGUCAGCUCGACCAUCAACUCGAAAUAGGGGCUAACGGUUUUUGGUCGUCACGUGAUUGAGUCGCUAAAGUCUAGGUACAACCCUAAGGUUCAACCUUUCGCCUUUACGAAUAGGUUUGAGAUUCUCUAGAUAAAGUGUUUGGUUAGAUACAGGGUCGGGCGUGUCAGUUUGGUAUUAGAGCGUGGUUUGUUCAUAGCAUACUUAGGAUCUUCUAUUAUUGUAGUAGUGUGUCGAUCAUGACGUCAUUUGGAUGUCACGACUUCCUGAUUUGUUGUCUUUCGGCACAGUUAUGCAACCCUCAUUCUGCAUGAAUAGUCACAUCUUAUGGAAGAAAAAGAAAAUUCGUGUUGGGAUUUUGCCUCAGUGUUGACGAAAUGGAUUGUUGAACAACUUUCAACAUCGAACUGAUACUCUAUAGCAUGCGUUCCCUAAGAAUUGCGAGUAGAGUUGGUGUUUACAUUGAAGUGACUAUCUAAGCCGAAGAAACUAUCAUAGACACUUAAGAGCAAGUCUUGUAGAAUGACUGUAACCUCCUAGUUGUUUUAACCAUGUUUUCCACUUAGGUAACCAAAACCUCUUCGUCUAGCCACAUUUUCGAUCACUUCCACAAGUGGACAAUAGAAUCGAAGUACAAGUUAACUUCUCAUUAUUAGAGUGAAGUAGCGUAUCGAGAAAGCUACAAAGACUUAUUAGCACGUGUCUACCCUGGUGUUCGGUAGAUAUCAGGGUCGGGCGUGUCAGCGAGUAUCUUUGACAUAAUUCAAAGACGUAGUAACUAAAGUAUGCUUAAUAGACCUCCAAGAAAUUGUGGUUCCACCAACAAUACCCAUUUAGGAUCUUGCCAUGUACGGAUCGAAUAAGUACAUAGCGUCAACAUAACCAACAAAAGCAACUCGAAAACUAGGGGGAGGGGGGACGGUUGCACUCAAAGUUGAGUAAGGAUAGGACAAACACAAGUCCACAACACUAUUAAGAUAACAUAGAGUUUUUUUAACACAUUUCAAUGUCUGCAUGUUGGCACAUGAUUGUGUUAUGCUAAGAGAUUUAUAAUGCAGGAGAUGUUAGGUCUUGUACACUGAGAUAAGUACAACAAAGCACCAAUUGCACUUAAGUAUGGAACCUCAGGUUCUAAAACUUCUUCAUCAUCUAUCUUUGGACGGUAUAGGUCUUAUUGUGCAUCAAGCGUACAGAUGACAAUGAGAGUACUCAAAGUCCACGCUUUAUCAUUAAAGCAUUGUAACAUCGUCUUGGUGUAGUUUGACUAGUUGACCAUGACUAAUGGACCAUAAUGUUGGAUUGUGAACUACCUUAGUAUAUAUGUGCAGAAGUGUGGAGGUUGGCAUAAACAUAAAUAAUCAUUUUAACAUGCAUGUUUGCGAAAUGCUGGAUUCCAUUUAAUCAUAUUAAAUUAAUUUAUGUAUUGGUUAUGUUCAUGUAUAAUAAAAUUAAGAACACAUGUAUAAACUUAGAGUACGUUUUAGAAUUCUAACCUUUAGAUUUCAUAGGUGGACGAAUUCAAUGUUGUUGAGGCUACUAAGUGUUAGCCGUCUACUAGUAUCUACACAAAUAAAUCUUCGGCUAGUGAAGCAAGAAGACAACGAUCUGCUAGAACUUUAUCUAUUAGGUAGGUGCUGCGGCAGAGGUACAAUGCAUUGUUAUGAAGUUGGUCUAUAUUGUCACGCCUCGCCCCGAAAUAUAAAUAUAUUAAAUCUUCGGCUAGCGAAGCAAGAAGACGACGAUCUGCUAGAACUUUAUCUAUCAGGUAGGUGCUGCGGCAGAGUGACAAUGCAUUGUUAUGAAGUUGGUCUAUAUUGUCACGCCCCGCCCCAAAAUAUAAAUAUAUUUCGGGAAUUAAUUAUGGUAGGCCCAACUUAAAAACGUAGUUAAUUUAUUUCCUUUAACCACAUCCCUCUAAGUCAAUAUUACUUACUAUUACAAGCUAUCCAUAUUUUCUUAAAAUGUCAAACAUAUCUUUCAUUUAACAAUUGAAUUCACUAAUAUUAGUUGUCAUUCUCCAAAUAAUUCCCUUCGUCCCACGUAGAAUCUAUAACCAUUAUUCGUUUACCAAGAUAUACAAUUUACUUUCCAAUUUAGAACCAUUUCCUUCUCUUAGAUCAAAUUCCAUCUAAACACUAAUUCUCGAUUAUUUAGUCUCACUUAUUUAUGGCUGCAUCUAACGUCUUGUUAGACUGCCUACGUACCCUAAACAAAGAUCAAGCCAUUCGUAGUUCACAAAUUCAAAUUCAAUUAAACUUUGAUAUUUCUACACAUAAUUAACAAUCACCAACUAGCUUCAAAUAAGUGUAUCACAUUAAAUACUUAUUUAACUUGAAUCCAAAACAUCAAAUUUAGCUUAAAAUACGGCAUCGGUUCCCUAGCCAUGCGUCGUCGCCGUCCUGACUUGCCGAAAAAUUCAACUAUUUCUAAAAAUUCUCAAAAAUUACAAAAAUGAAGAUCUCAAAGAGUAGAGCAAACUUUAUACCUAUGGCCAAGCCCAAUUUGGCCGGGAAACACCUCAAAUUGGCCACGAACUGCCGAAAACUCUUGUUUUGGGUGUUCUUGAUUUGUCUCCAAAACAACUUCGACGCCUCAACCAAUGCAUGGGCUUUGUUCUAGGCCUCAAGAAGAGUAUGAGAGUAGUGGUAAUUGAAUGAAAUCACUUCAAAAUUUGGUGAAUUUUGACACCUACACCGUCGCACCCACCGGUGCGUUUUACCCCAUUUCAAGGUCAAAUUUCAUGAUUUUUGGGGGGUAACAGGGUUAGGGAAGGUCAUUGAGGGUUUUCCAAGUGGUAGUUUAAAUUGAUUUGCUGGAAAAUGGGCUAAAACUCACCAAAAAUAGCAAGGAAAACCGACCGAAUCGAGUCGGGUCCUUUCAGGUCAGGGAUCCCCCGUACCCCUUUUCUCUCAUUUUCCCCCCUUUCUCCUUUCUCCCAUUGGUCAACCUCCCCCUAUUCCUUCCUUCCUUUUCUCCUUUCUAUUCUUUUCUUUCAAUCUCAACCGUCCAUUUCUUUAUUUAUUUUCAUCUCAGCCACACACGUGGCACAACCAUUGGAUCAAAUUUUCUGGAGCCUUCUACCAUAAAAUGAAAUUAUUAAAAUAUCCUUAACUUUAAACGUUAAUAUCUUCUUUGUUAUAACUUCGUUUCAUGAACGGUUUGUGCCUACACAUUCAUGAGAUCGAGCUCUAUUCAAAAAUAUAAAUUGUCACUCUGAAUAGUUUUCGGAUUUUUAAAUAAUAAAUUCCCAAACUUAGAACUUCUUAACCAGUUUAAUUUAAAACUAAACUCGAAUAAAUUAAUAUAAUUUCUUGAAAAAUAAUCUAAAAUCUCAAUCAUACAAAUACAUAAAUUAUAAUAAUUUCCGAAAAUAAAACUUUAAAAUUUUCCAAUUCUACUUUCAUAACCAUAAAUCGAUUUAUUUUCAAUUUUCUCCACAUAUUCAUAUAUUUAAAAUUUCAGGGUAUUACAUAUAUUGUAUUGGAAAAUAAACAACAAGAAAGUUCAGAUGCCAUACCCUUUAAUAGCCAUAACAAGUGUUGAAGUUGUCGAAGUUGUAGUUUUACUAGAACUGUUUGUUGUCGUUUCAGGUACAAUGUAAGGAAUAUUUCGUCAAAACUAGGUUUAUGGAUAAAAAAUAAAAAAAAACAUACCAACUCAAGCAGUAAGGAUAAACAACUAAAUUAUUCUAAACAAGUGAACUCCAAAUGUAAUGACCUGUCUCAAAAUUUUAUAAAUUUCAGAACGACAAGGGUAAAUUGGUAUUUUCACAUGUGAGAGAUAUUUGCAUGUUUGUCUCUUAUGACUUGUUUGGUGCGCCAAUGAGGCCCACCGCUUUUAUUUGGGGACUAGGAUUAUCUCUUCUGACACACCCUGACCCAAAAUAUCGAGAUGUGCUGGCAGUCACGUGAGGAUGACGUAGCCAUGCGCGUUGUGCGGAAGAAUUAAAGUGAAAGACAGUGAGGAAACGAAAAGUAAACCGAAUAAUUUACAUCAAAAGAUAAGUGAGUAAAAGUGAUGAAAAGGAAAGCAUAAAGCACCACAUCAAAGUUCAAGUAACCUAGGUGCAGUCCGGAAUAAACAAGUACUGAAUAAACGUUAACCAAAUAAAUCCUACAUGGAUGAUGCCUUGUUAAAACUGUCUCGAUGCCUCGCUCGCCACCAACGUCGCAACUACCUAAAACUUGGAGCGGCGCAAAACUGAAAACAUGAGUGGGUAAAAACAAAGUUUUUCCAAAACCGUUUCAAUAUCAAAAUAGUAACCCCUCUCCCUAUACUUUCUCAGAAAAUAUCAUCCAUACUCAAAUAUCAAUCAUGCUGGAAAACGAUAAAUCUCAAAUAUGCCAUGUUAGAAUACGACAUGUCGAAUUACCCAAUCAAAACAAAAUAAGUAUCAAGUAGGUGAGAUAAAUCAAAUCAUAAUAUGCCGCCAAUCUCAAUACGUCAGUUGGAGUCACCUAACGUGAACUGUACGACUGAAUAUAUAGCUCCUCAAUCACUAUCUUGCACACGAGUCGGAACCACCUAUAGUGGUCUGUACGACAGGCUGGGUGUAUAAUUACGCUCAGUGCUACGAUCACGUGAAGGCUGUGCAACGUAUCACAAGUCACCUAUGAGUCGGAACCACCUAUAGUGGUCUGUACGACAGGCUGGCACCUGCCUUGGGUCCAAGGUGAGCGUACGGUGCGGGAGGUGAACGAUCACGUGAAGGCUAUGCCGUACUCUGGCAGAGCACAAACACCGGGGUGCAGGAAUAUGAGCUAUAUCUCAAUCUCAUCAUCAUCACAACUAUCACUAACAAGUAUACUCACCUGACUUACCUGAGCGACGCCAAUUCAUAACCAACAUAAAUCAUAAUAAACAAUAAUGAUAUUCGACAUGGCAUUUCAAUUAUAAAACCAUUUUAAAACAUAAUAUCUGGGAAAAUAUCAAAUAUAUAUAUAUAUAUUCUGAAAACAAAAGCCCACUCACUGAUAAGUAGAAGGGUCUUAGCCCCCGAGCCUGGCAUGGCUGUGCUCGUCUUCUGGAUAAGCCUUACCUAUAUGUGAAACAACUAUAAAACCGUCAAUUAAACGCACAUAACCAACCUUAGGUAAUAACUUCUCAUACAUUGCUCAAUUGGAGGUGUUUGAAUCUAACAACAUGCUUUACUUAAUCUCAGAACACCCUCAUAUUUUUAGAAAAAAUUUCUUGUCACCCACGCGUAGGCACGUGCCUGGCACACGGACGGAACAGUUAAUGCCGUAAGGAAUAUUUUGUUAAAAAGUAACAGAUUCCAUUAAAUCUAACCUGACACUGUUAGAAUAUUCCAUCAAACUUGACGGAAUAUUCAUCGUCUCCUUCCUUGAGUCACGGGAGUCCGGCGCCGGUCGCCGUCUGUUUGCGGGUUUCUGGAAAAUUUUCAAAUGUUGAUAUCUCAGUCAAAUCUUAACUAAAUUUCACGAAAUUAACGUCAAAAUGAAGCUUAGGACAAGGGGAAGAAAUCUAUACCAAUUUGAGGUCCCAACGAUGCUGGAAUCUCGCCAGAGAAAUCUCGAAAAAUCUGAUCAACUAUAGAACUCAAGAUUUCGACAUCCAAAACACGUCAACGUUGCUCCCCAAGCUUCGUGAAGACGUCUAGAAACUCCCUGUGAUCUUAGAAUCUCUAAAAACCUCCUCAAUCACGAGUGCAUGAACAAUACCUUUAUUGGAGCUUUCAGGUUUCAAGGGUUUUCAAGGUUUUCAGGACAAACCAAGGGUAUAGUUGAACUUGCAAGGGUGCAAGGAGAAGCAUGUAUAUCCGUACUUAGGGUAUGGAAAAUAGAAGAAAAAUCGAGAAGGAGGGAGAGACAGAACCAGAAACAGAAAAGGAAGAAAAAGGGGUGCACGUGUGCAUGUGUGUGUAUAAGUUUAACCAAUCACACCAAAACUAAGCUCAAGUUCUAAUUGGGUCCAAUAAUUUGGGAUAUCACCCUAUUGGCCCAAUGUAGCUCACACACAUAACCACAAACACGUAAGGGUAAAAACGUCAAUUCAUGCCGUCGAUAAAAUUAUUUCGGGACGGUCUGUCACAUCCUCUCUUUUUUCACCCCCUUCUUUAAUAUUCUUUAUUUUGUAUUUUUUUAUAUAAAUAAAAUAUUAAUAUAAAAUGUAAUCAUGAUCUAUUUGAACGGAAAUUGGAUGGAAAAAAAAAAGAUGAGAGACUUCUCAUUUAUUUGGUCUCCUGGUCCUCCCUCUCUCUUCCUUUUCCCCGUCACUCUCCUCUCAUCUUGGACUAUCACACUCUCUAACUCUCCCGGCCCUCAUCUCUCUCGCACGACCCUCAUCCUCCUUCAAAACCCAAAAAACUGGCGAUUCCACGGAACUGAAACCAAGCUGAAGUCCCCAUCCUUCUCUGUUCCCCCAUCAUCACUGUUCUCUCCUCCCUCGGAACCCUGCAACAUCACCAUCGCGGCAGAGCCGCCUUCUCCGGCGAGUUCGUCGAUUUCCCGACUUGGGGUAAGCCUCGGGAUGCUUAAGAUCUUCAACUGUUACUUAUCUUUUUGUCCUAUUUGCUGCUAAUGAUUUGUAGCAAGAGUUGAUUUUUAACUGUUUCUAAUUGGUAAUGGAUUAAAGGAAGUUCAUUUACUAUUAGAGGUGCAUGUGAAAGUAAGCUUGAUUCGUAACCUCGUCGAGCAUUUGGAGCUCGCUUUGACUGAGGUUUUUCGAUUUGAUGUGAUGGCGUAUAAGCUUUUCUCAGUUUCUCGGUCAUUUUAAGGGUGACCAAGAUUAUCUCUGUGAGCAAUGUUGAGGUUAGGGAUUGGAAGUAAAUGAAAAGGGGUGUCUUUUCAUCAAAGGCUGAGGCCAAGAUUAUCUUUUGAGAAAACUUUGAGGCCUUACCUAGAUUGCAAGUCUCUGUUAAGUUCCAAUUGACGAAGAUGUUUAAAACUGUUGAAAUUAUACUGCCUUAAUUGAAAGGAGGCCUUACCUAGGAUAAUAUCUAGCUCAUUCGGGGUCUUUUUUUGGUUCUUUAACUACAUGAAAUUUGCAUUGAGAUGAAUUCUUAUCCUGAAUGAGUACAUGUGAGAAUCACGCGUGAUUGACGGAAAAUUAUGAAAUAAGAUAAUGAAUUCCGAAGGCUGGGUGCUCAGCUGGAGAUGCGGAUAAACAAAGAAUUAUAUGUUGAUUUGAAAAGGAAGACGUUUAUAUUGUUGAUUGGAGUAUAUAUGGCCGAUGAGAAUAUGCUAAACCGAUAGUUGCUCCUUGUAGGUUGCGGGGGAAGUGGUAACAUUAUGUGUUCAGAAUGUGGUGGCCGCGGGUAUCUAAGAUGACCAUACCGGUUCGCUUAUCUUCCUUGAAUUUGUUGUAUGUGCAAGUAACUUGUGUUAUAGCCAUGACGCUUUCCCUAAUUUUUUGUGGCUGAUUCCACGAUGAGUUAAGUGUAACAGUAAUGCAUCUGAUUCAUUUACUCUUCGAAAUGGUGUUCUUCCUCAGAUUUAUGUGCCAUUUAUCGUGUUGAAUGUUCAGAACCAUACAAUUACCACAUAACAAACACAAAGGAAACGAAAAAACUUGAAACAAAAGUUGACAAACAAACAACCAACGACAUAAGAAAACAGACUGCAUACUUUUAUUUAGACCAUUUUUAGUACCCUCAAAACUAAUUGGCAAGUUAGUUAAUCCCCAUGAGUGACAAUGCUGUCCAUAUUCUUGGCAACUACCUCCUUAGAAUCCCUCAGUUUUCUUAUGCUUUUGUUAAGCUUCUCACGCUUUACUGCCACUGCCGGGGACUCCUCCAACAUCCUCUCAAUUCCCCCACCGUAUGGUCCCAUCAACUCAUUCACAAUCUCAGCUUCCAUCUCUUUGUUCACAAGGUUGAAAACAGACAGCUGCAAGUGCAAUGCCAUGGAGUCCACAAGCCUCCUCAAAACAACCUUCCAAUAGGCAAUCAUUCUCAUUUUAAGGUCAUAAGCUUGAGCUAAAACAUGCGGGUACUUCCUCAGAACACCGACUUCGACUUCCCCGAUGCCUUCUAUAGCUAUGACAGACGGUUUCUUCCCAUCAGUUAAGACUCCUUGAAUGAAUUCGUUUUGACUAGCCAUCAACUUGUUCCAUUCGGAAACAUAAUCAGCAUCGCAUGUAUAAUCUGUC
rnacentral:lncRNA from 1 species